AUAAUAUGUGGAUGUGAACUGCUUGGCUCUCGUGUGGACUGGGUGUAAAUUAUACCAAGUAUGGUUGUGUGCUAGUGAACUGAAGGGAUGUUAUGAUGACUUAGUUUGUUUGACUGAUGUGUUGAUAUGUUAUUGACUGACUUGGGCUAAAAUGCAAUAAGUUGACGGUUAGGGUAAUAAGUGAAGGGAUUAUGUGUUGAGGUAAUUUUACUGUAUUAUGGUUGACUGACUGAUAAGAUGUUUAGAAUGGACUGAGGGAAAAAAUUAUUAGUUUCCUAUUGGAUAGUUACGUUGCAGGUGUCCUACGAGAUCACUAUCCUUUUUGUGCAUCCUUCGGGAGCACUAAACUGAUAUGUGUUUUUACAGAAGACUAGACUGAUUUAUGCGUCCUUUGGGGCGUUAGACUGAUUAUGUGUAUCCUACAGGAUCACAAGACUAUGACUGUGCAGGGUACUCCAUAGGAAGUUAAUAGUUUAUUUUUCCCCAAACGGGACCAAUAGUAGGUCUCUUACCGGGUAUGUUUAUACUCACCAUUUUAUGUUUAACUAUUUCAGGAAAAGGUAACAAAGGAGGUAAACCGACGAGGGACAAGAAGGAGACGUGAUUGCCAUAGGGGAACGUCUUUCAAAUGCUUCCGCUUUAUGUUUUUCAUGUUUUUCUUAGUACAUGAGGUUGUUUAAAAAUUUUGUGAUGGAACUAAUUUUACGAAAACAGUACUUUUAAAGUUUUGGUUAUUUGAAAUAGGGUCUGACUUAAGGUUGUUUUCUUUGAUAGUAUGAUUUCAAAUGAAUUUUACUAUAUUUUGUGACAAUCAAGGUCUCUUUGUCAAAAUUAAUGACUUCAACUUAGUUAGAAAAAUUGGGUCGUUACACUAAGAACUAGGCAAGUCUUGUUUUGCUUAGACCAAAAGUGAAGAGUUUCUUAUGCAAGUUAUGAUACCGAAGAAGUUCAAUGCAUUUUACCUAACCUUAACGACUUCUCUCUCUUUUUCAUUCUAGGAGCUAUUAUGCUAGGUGAAGAAUUGUAAGAACGAGGUAAGUUCAAAAAGUGAGAAAAAAGCACUUCAAGACCCAAAAUGCAACCAAGUAUGUUAGUGCAACAAACUUAUUGUAAAACCAAUCUAAAACGUUCUCAAAAUGUGUCUAGGUAUUACUUUAAUUUUCAAAACGAUCUAGCAAAUCGUAAGUGUAAGUUCGUAACUCAUAAUCCACCAAAAAGUUCUAAAAGGUUGAAAAAAGCACUUCAAAACCCAAAAUGAAAACCAAAUGUGUAAGUGCAAGAAACUCAAUCUAACCUAAAAUGUAUUCAAAACAUGUGUAAGUAUCACUUGAAUUUUCAAAACAACCAAAGAAUAAUGCGUUAGUGUAAGUUUGUAACUUACAACCUACCAAAAUUUCAAACAGAGUGAAAAAAACACUUCAAGACCCAACAUGUCAACCAAGUGUGUAAGUGCAACAAACUUUAGUGUGUUUUGAUUAUCUUUUAAAGUUCGCAAGGAUAAGUGAGCAAGUUGAGACAUUGUCUUACAAGUGGAGGGAAAUACGAGGCUGAAGAUGACAAAAGGGUCUCACCUAAGAAGACAAGAAAAAAAACUGCCAUCAAACAUGAAAAGAAGAAGAAAAGCAAAGUUGGUACUUCUAGAACUUAAGGAAGCCAACAAAGCCCCAAAGUUCAACAUUGCCAAGGAAAUGAAGGUAGAGAAGGACCUCUUUCCUUUCAUUGGGGCUCUCCGAGAGUUUUUGGAUGCCCCAAUUAAAUCAUUUAGAUAGAGGAAGUUCUUCAAGGGAACUUCCAAGACUCGAUUAGAGGUUGUUAGAAAAUUCUACGCAUCAGAUUACAAUUAUGCCAAAUAAUACUAUGUGAUAAUGGACGAGAAAAGCGUCUACUUCAAUGUUGAAGCCAUGGGAAAAUUGUACGGUUUGCCUUUGGACGCUGAGACACCAAAGGAAGUCGUAAUUACUAGAACUUUAAAAAGGCAGACCAGGGAAGCAUUGGAAAUUAUCAUGUGGCUUGAGGUAGAAUGAGAUAUCACGCCAAAGGGAAAGUACCUACUAUUCCCACACUAGCUGACCAUUGAGGCAAGUAGGGCUCUUUUUUAUAAAAAAGAAGAUGAUGCCAACAUGCUACUACAACACCAUCCCAUUGCAAUACACGAUGAUGACUUAAUUCAUUAAGAAGAAGAUGGUAGUUAGCUUGGGUGCCAUAAUCAAAAACUCCAUCCUCUCUUGGAUGGAAGUACCUAAAAAGGCAUUGCCCUUCCCGUUUACCAGCGGUAUGGUGGGAUCAACUGGAGAUUAAUAGGCAAAUGUGUGGGAAGCAACCCAUCCGUUCUUGGAAGAAAAUGAAGAAACUAUUGAAGGCACGAUUUCUACCCCCAAAUUAUGAACAAACCUUAUACAAUCAGUACCAAAAUUGCCACCCAGGGUACUCGAAUAGUAGUUGACUAUAUUAAAGAGUAUCAUUACCUAAGUGCAAGAAUAAAUAUGAGUGAAAAUGAAUGGCACCAAAUUGCAAGAUUAGUGGGAGUCUUGCGAUUUGAUAUCAAGGAAUAGGUAAAGCUGCAACCAUUUUGUUUUGUAUCUGAAGCAAUUUCUUUUGCAGAAACAGCGGAUGAGAUGAUGACCGUUAGGACUAAAAACCUGAAUAGGAGAUCAACAUAGGAGGAAACCUCAACAAGAAAGAAAAAUUAUCUUAAUAAGGAAAAUGACCAACCAUCAACCUCAAGAAGAGGAAAAGGUAACGAAGUUGACAAUCAAGAGAUAGUUAAUGAGAAAAAGAAGGAGUCAGCGUAUAGGAACAACAGUUAGAAUAAUUACAUUCGACCAUCAUUCGGGAAGUUCUUUCGAUGUGGCCAAACUGGUCAUCUUUCCAAUACUUGCCCCCAACGAAAAAUCAUAGCGUUGGCUGAGGAAGAAGGAGGUUCGAUGAGUGAAAACAAUAAAAAAAGCAGAGGAAGAAGCUGAGCUUUUUUAGGCGGAUGAUGGAGAUAGAGUCUCUUGUGUCAUCCAAUGAGUACUCAUUGCUCAUAAAGAAGAGAAGAAUCCACAUCACCAUAGCCUCUUCAAGACAAAGUGUGCUAUAAAUGGAAGGGCAUGUGAUGUGAUUAUAGACAGCAACAGUAGUGAAAACAUUGUGGCAAAGAAGCUGAUGGCUAUGUUGAAUCUAAAGGCUAGAACCCAUCUAAAUCCUUACAAGAUGGGAUGGGUGAGGAAAGGAGGAGAGGUCGUGGUUAACGAAAUCUGUACAAUGUUAGUGGGAAAAAACUACUUAACGAAAGGGAACAAGACCUCCUAGGGCUGAUUACUGUUGAAAAGUCCAAGGAAGAACAAAAUGGGGUCGUGGAACCUAAAUUACAGGAGCUAUUUGAUGAGUUCCCUCAUUUGAAAAAAGAACCUGAGGGACUUCCACCCCUUCAAGAUGUACACCAUCAUAUAGACCUUGUUUCAGGAGCAUCAUUGUCAAACCUAGCUCAUUAUAGAAUGAGUCCCCAAGAGUACUAAAUUCUCCAUGAUCAUAUUAAAGAACUACUUAGAAAGGAACACAUCAAACUGAGUUUGAGUCCUUGUAUGGUACCUGCCCUUCUGACUCCAAAGAAAGAAGGUAGCUAAAGGAUGUGUGUAGACAAUAGAGCAAUAAACAAAAUCACGGUGAAGUAUCGUUUUCCCAUCCCACACAUUAGUGAUCUCUUAGACCAACUUGGCAAAGCCCUCAUUUUUUCAAAGAUUGAUCUAAAGAGUGGCUACCACCAAAUAGGGAUUAGGACCAGAGAUGAAUGGAAGAUAGCCUUUAAGACCAAUGAAGGCUUAUUUGAAUGGAUGGUCAUGCCCUUUGGGUGAUCUAAUGCUCCUAUUACUUUCAUGAGAUUGAUGAAUCAGGUACUUCACCUCUUCCUUAACAGAUUUAUACUUGUCUAUUUUGAUGAGAUACUUGUGUCUAGCCGAAUUGUGAUGAGCAUAACUACAUUUAAGAAAGUUGUUUCAAGUUUUAACAGAAAUAGAACUAUACAUCAAUCCUAAAAAGUGCAUACUUUUGAGGAAGAUUGCCUUUCUUGGCUUAUAAUCAAAGAAGUCAUCCAUACUUGGCCUAUACCAACCUUUAUUUAAGAGAUACAAGCCUUCCUUGGCUUGGCUUCCUUCUACAUAAAGUUUAUCAAGAACUUCAGCUCCUUGAUAACAACUCUCACUGAUUGUCUAAAGAGGGGAAACUUUAAGUAGACCCUAAUACAACAAGAGAGCUUUGAUGGCAUCAAGAAGAAGUUGGUUUCCAACUCUAUUCUUCAACUACCAAACUUCUCUUCACCAUUUGAAAUGGCAGUUGAUGCAUGUGGCACUGGAAUUGGGGUUGUCUUGUCUCAUCAAGGACACCCAAUUGAAUGCUUCAGUGAAAAACUAAGCUCCUCAAAACAGUCAUGGAGCACUUAUGAACAGGAGUUGUAUGCUCUCAUUCGAGCACUAAAUCAAUGGGAACACUACCUACUUUGUGAUGACUUUGUACUUCUAACAGAUCACUUUUCCCUAAAGUAUCUCCAAUCUAAAAAAAAUAUAUAAGCAGAAUGCAUGCACGCUUGAUUUCGUUCCUUCAAAGAUUUGCUUUUGUAAUAAAAAAAAAUUAAUCGGGCAAAGAGAACAAGGUAGUUUAUGCCCUAAGUAGGAAAGACUCCAUGCUUACACUUCUCUCCUUUAAAAUUGUGGCCUUUAAACACUUACCCAACCUAUAGGAGGAAGAUAUUGAUUUUGAGAACAUUUGGUACAAAUGCUCCAAUUACAUAGGUACUAUUGACUAUCAUAUUAUUGAAGGUUUCCUAUUUAUGGGAGAAUAGUUGUGCAUUCCUCAUACCUCAUUACGAGAAGCCUUGUUAAAAGAAGCACACUUCAAUGGUUUAGCUGGACAGAGAAUAGGACAUUUGAAAUUAUUUCUAAAAGAUACUACUGGCCCUAGCUAAGGAGAGAUUCAAAUAAUUUCGUGAAAACAUGUCCAAUUUGUCAAAAAACUAAAGGCUCAAGCACAAAUGCAGGGUUAUAUUCCCACUGCGUAUUUUUCAACUUCCAUUUAGGUAGAUUUGUCAAUUGACUUUGCGGUUCGAUUACCUAAAACACAAAGGCAUUACCAUUCAGUUACGGUGGUAGUAGAUAAAUUUAGCAAGAUGGCCUACUUUGUAGCUUGCAAGAAGACAAAUGAUGCAAUCUAUAUAGCCAACCACUUCUUUAGAGAGGUAGUACGACUACAUGGAGUACCUAAAACUAUUGUGUCUGACAUAGAUGUUAAGUUUCUAAGCCAUUUCUGGUGAAGCCUAUGAAAAAAGUUUAACACAACAUUAAAAUACAACACUACAGCCCAUCCAUAGAUAGAUGGACAAACUGAAGUAACCAAUAGAACCCUAGGAAAUUUAUUAUGUUGUCUUAGUGGGAGAAAACCUAAGCAGUAGGACGUAGCAGUUGCUCAAGCUGAGUUUGCUUUCAACAAUAUGAAGAAUCGUUCAACAGGGAAAUGCCUCUUUGAAGUAGUAUACAUUAAGCAACCACAGUUAACUUUCGACCUUACUUCACUUGCUACAACCAUGGACCUUAAUAAAGAGACAGAGAUGAUGCUAGAAAACAUUGAAAAAUUGCACAAUGAAGUUUAUGAUCAUAUUGUACAACCUUCAAACUCCUACGAAAAAUCAGCAGAUAAAAAGAGAAGACAAAUUGAUGUUUCUAAAGGAGAUUUGGUGAUGGUACACUUAAAAGAAGAAGAACUUUCCUAUUGGCACCUAUAACAAACUGAAAGAUAGACAGAUCGAUCCAUAUUCUAUAGUAGAGAAUUAUGGAGGUAAUGCCUUGAAAAUAGACUUGUCAUCGGACAUUCAUAUACAUCCAGUAUUCAAUGUUGUUGAUUUGAAGCCAUAAGAUGCACCAGACAACUUCACACUUGCUAAUUGAUGCACUCUGUGAUCAGUCUAUUCUUAAGGGGGUGGAAUGAUGUAAUAAGAAUAAGGGUAGAGAUAGCUAAAGUUAGUUAGAACGAUUAAGAUACAUAACUGUUUAAUAAACAAUUUUCUUGUAACUACUUUGUAACAAACUUACAAAGCAUUAAUAAAUACACCAUCUCUUAGUCUUAAGAGGCAGAGAAUUCAUUUGAGAAAUAUAUCCAACUUUGAAUUACAUCAAAGUGCUAUAAAAGCAGCCUCGAUUCUUAGGACGAAUGGCUGGCCGGAGAGUGAUAAACCCAGCUGCGGGGGACGACCAUGUACAAGAAGAAGCAGAGGAGAUCGCUGCCCUCUCUCUAAAGACAUUAACGGUUCGCUUGCUGGCCAUCAAAGGAUCCUUGGGGGAUCUUUAUAACACGUUUGAUUGAUUGAUGAAAAAUGUAGAUUUAUUGAACUGGAGAAUGGAAGAACUACUAGCGCCACCACAUAUUGAAGCAAGCCUUUUGAACGAUCACCAUUAUGGUGACAGAAGAGGCUGACGAUUAAAGGGAAACCUUAGGAUUUUCAACAAUCCACAAGGCUUACAUAGAAGGAGACUCGAUGACACCCUGUCGCAACAUUUUGAUGACGAUUUUGACGAAGACCAAGAAGCAUGGCAGGAACUUCAAGAAGAUGACUUCUUGAGUGGUGACGAGCAAGAAAAUAUUUGAAACUUUAAUGAAGAAAUGUGGGCAAGACGAAAUAAUAGAUGAUGUAAAGCCAAAAGAGAAGAAUACCAUGACUAUAAAAUGAAAAUCGAUCUCCCAAUGUACAAUGGUAAACGAAACAUAUAAUCAUUCUUGGAUUGGAUAAAGAACACCGAGAACUUUUUUAACUACAUGGACACGCUUGGACCUAAGAAAGUCUAUUUUGUAGCCUUAAAACUUCGAGCCGGUGCUUCAGCAUGAUGGGAUCAGUUGGAGAUUAAUAGGCAAAGGUGUGGUAAGCAAUUGAUUCGUUCUUGAGAGAAAAUGAAGAAUUUAUUGAAGGCACGAUUCCUAUCCCAAAAUUAUGAACAAACCUAUACAAUUAGUUCCAAAACUGCCGCAAGGGUACUCGAAUAGUAGCUGACUAUAUUGAAGAGUUUCAUCGCCUAAGUGUAAGAAUAAAUCUGAGUGAAAAUGAAUAGCACCAAAUUGGAAGAUUUGUGGGAGGCCUUCGGUCCGAUAUCAAGGAAAAGAUAAAGCUGCAACUAUUUGGUUUUCUAUCUGAAGUAGUUUCUUUUGCAUAAAUAGUGGAAGAGAUGAUAGUCAUUAGAUCUAGGAACCUCAAUUGGAGAUCAACAUGAGAGGCAACCUCAACAAGAAAGAACAAUUAUCCUUAUAAGGCAAAUGACCAACCCACAACCUCAACAAGAGGAAAAAGGAAGGAGGUUGACAAUCAGGAGAUAGUUAAUGAGAAGAAGAUGGAGUCAGUGUACACAAACAACAGUCAAGAUAAUUACACUCGACCGUCAUUGGGGAAGUGCUUUCGAUGUGGCCAAACUGGUCACCUUUCCAAAUCCCAUUGAAGGAAGCAAAUCUUUAGAAAAAAUCAUCAUGGAUAGAGAUGAAAGAAUGUCAUUCAAAUUAAAUCUUUUCAAUCUGGGGCAUUGAGGAUAGGAAUUUGAGACAAGAAAGUAAACUCAAUUGACUUAGUCUAGGAGAUGAAAAUACCAUAAUUUUUCACCGAAUCUUGGCAGCAAAUAAAAAGAAAAACUUGAUUGCUGAGUUAAUUGACGAUCACGAAUUACUGACAAUAUCAUUCAAGGAGAUUGAAGACCUUAUCUUGGAAUUCUAUAGAUCAUUAUACACUAAGACUCCAGGCUGUAAUGUAAUUACUAUCAAUUUACAACGAAAGUCAAUGAACCAUUGUCAAAAGAAGUUUUUAACAGCUCGCUUUAAGAUCGAGGAGAUUAAAAAUGUCCUAUGCUUAUUGGAAAAAAACAAGGCUCUAAAACGUAAUGGUUUCACGACUGAAUAUCUACUAAAAUUUUGGAAUUUUUUUCAAGGAAAAUUUUGAAAAUUUGUUCAAGGAAUUUUACUCGAACACGAAACUGAAUUUUUAUGUUAAAGAAAAUUUCAUAUGCCUAAUCCAGAAAAAAGAAGAUGCAGUAUGUGUUCGAGAUUUUAGACUGAGUUACCAGAUGAGGCUAGUGAGUAUGGAGAUGAAAAUGAUUAUUCGAGGCUUUAUUUCAAAAUACUUAGAUUUCUUUUGAUAAAUAUUUGUUUUUCCUUUUAGUACUUAAAAAUUAAAUUGAGCUUAUAAACACUUAUUCCACCACUAAAAUAUCUCUUGCUUUAAUGUCUAUUUUUAACAAUGUGACAAAAAACUGUUGGAUCGGUAUGGCAACCCUAGAGGGGGUGAAUAGGGUUUAAAUAAACUUUUUGACAAAUAAAAAGUAAAAUCAACUAAUUAGAUACUUUUUAAAUUUAAAUAAAGAACUUUGUAAACUUUGUUAAAUAACAAGAUUGAUAAAAAUAUAUGAAUGGAAGUAUGCAAUCAAACUCAACCAAUAAGAGUAUGUAACUAAAAUUAAAUUAAAAAAUAAUUAGAAAAGAGUUAGAGAAGAAGACACCGUAAUUUUAUAGUGGUUCGGUUAAACUCAACCUACAUCCACUUUCCCAAGCACCUCUUGGGAUUUUGAUUGAAAAUCUUCUUUGGACUCUUUCCACGGAUUUGAGCCGAACCGAUUCUUGCUCCUUUUUCGGGUUCAAGAGCAAACCCGAUCCUUUCCACGGGUUAGGAUCCAACCGUUACAAUAUGUUGAAGUUUUUAAAUCACGCAAAAGAAAACUCUCUAAAAGAGUGAGUAUACAAUUUGAAGCUCACAAAUUUAAUCCUCACAAUACAAUAAGAUGAAAAGAAUAAAAAUUGGAAGCUUUAGAGAGAAUAACAAUGUUGGCUUUUUGCUUGAGGAUUGUUAAGAUUUUGUUUGAUCUUGUGUAAAUGUGAAGCAUUUAAAAAGAGAUGAAAGAUAAAUUCAAAAUCAUUUGGGUCAUUAGAUAUAAGUAAAAGAAAAAUGAAUGGUUGAGAUUUAAACUUAAUUAGCCGUUAGACACAAUACAAAUAAUAAUAUAAUAAUAUGUCUUUUCAAAAUACUUUGUUUAAAAUGAAAUCAAUAAAGCAACUUCACCAUCUUUUAAACAACUAGCCGUUAGACACAAGGAAAAUAAUAUUAUUAAAAUCAUUUUCUUUUUAAAUUCAUUUUCUUUAUAAAAGCCAAUAAAACAUAACAAAAAGCCACAUUUGUUACUCCUUCAUUGCUCCAAGUGGCUUUCUCUAAUUGGUUCAAAUUGAAUGCUUGGUCGCCACGUCACCAUCUCGGGUAUUUUUCCGUUAACCUUCUUUUAGCAAUAUUUUCUUCAUUUGAACUUCGAUUUGGAUGAUUCAAGAGGCGUUAGAAUCAUUUUUCCAAGCUCUACGAUAUGGUCUAUUCAAAUUAAUAAAAUUGUCAAUAAAAAAAAUCAGAUUUGUUAUCAUCAAAACAUAAAUUAAUUGAAUAAUUAAAAUAAAUUAAUUUGAGAUUAAGGGCCAAAAAGCCAACAAAAACUAUGUCAAAUUCUAAAAAUUAUAAAAUAAAAUAGUUUUAUGUUUGAGCUAAAAUUCAACUUUUGUACUUAAAGAAUGAAAAACAUGGUAAAAAACUUAGAUUAAAUAUAUCCCCAACUUUCAUGAAGCGGGGAUAGCUUAGUUGGGAGAGCGUCAGACUGAAGAUCUGAAGGUCACGUGUUCGAUCCACGUUCACCGCAUAUAUUGAAAAAAUUUAUGUUUGAUUCUAUUUUUAGAAAUUGGUUAAACCAAUUUCAAAGUGGACUCCCCAUUCAUGGUGAGAUUAAUAAGAUCGUUUAGAUUUCAUGUUUGUUUUUUUGCCUUAUGGUAGAUGUCAGAUGUUAAUCACUUGAAAGGAAAAGUAAAGCAUAAAGAUAAGGCAGAUGUCAGAUGUUAAUCACUUGAAAGGAAAAGUAAAGCAUAAAGAUCGAUCGAUAUCUAGAAUGUAACAAAUUAAGAUAUCCCAACGUCUAGAAACAAAACAUAAGAUGAUUCAUCUUUCCUGUUCUAUCCUAAACGAGGUGUUUUUUUCUUCUACGUGAGGUUUUUUUUUUUUCUAAAUGGGGUUUUUUUUUUUACUAAAUUGUAUACCAAAGGAUUAGAUUUUCCUUUUUGGAGCACUUAAAAAAACCUCCUACACAUAUACCUUUCUCAUGCCAUGUGAUCGACUUUAAUUAGUUGGAAUUUAUUUACCUCUAGAAAUUGCUAUAGCUAAUGUAAGGCCCUAAUCACAUACUCCAAUCUGAUGAAGGCCCUAUGAUGAAGAUUGAUGUGCACAGAUACUUGAGGAAGAACUACUGGUAAACACUACAACAAAACGGUCUACGACGACAGUUAUUUUAUGUCGCAAAUAAAAUUUGUGACAUUUAUUUACAGUCAUAGUAACGCGUAUCAUGGAAAGUUCUUCCAUGACAGAUUUUGAAAACUGUUGCAAUAAGUUUUUCAAUGACAGAAAAUAAAUGUCGUUAAUUAUUAUUUUAUGACAACAAAUAAUUGUCAUGUUUUAUAUUAUGACACUAAAUAGCUGUCAUCAUUUGUGUAUUAACGACACUAAAAAAUGUCGCAAAUUCGUUUAUUAUGACAUUUUUUAAAUGUCAAGGAUAUGUCAAUCGUGACAGUUUUUCUAAAAAUAAAUGUCAACUUUUUGAAAUUGACGACAAUUUAAAAUGUCACGAAUUCGUAUUUUAUGACAAUUUUUCAUGUCAAAUAUAUGUCAAUCGUGACAGUUUUUUUAGAAAAUUAAAUGUUAUUGUUUUGCUAUUGACGACAUUUUUUUCUUGUCAAAUAUAGGGCAAUCGUGACAGUUUUUUUAUAACAAAAAUAUCAUUGUUUUAAUAUUGACAACAAUUAUGGAGUGUAACGAAUUCAUGUAUUAUGACAUUUAUUUCAUGUUGCAAAUUCCUCAAUUACUACCGUUUUUCUCUAUUCUCCUUGUCGCUCUGCCAUUACACGAACCAUUUGAAUGACAAUAAUGUUAUAAUACGUAACACUCAUAUAGAAACAAAUGGUCGACAAUUUAAUAUAAAUAUGCUAUAAAUCACUUUGUAAUAUUCGUACAUUUCCAAUCAAGUUUGAACAAUUUAUAAGUGUGGAAUUACAACCCUUAAUGAAACCAGUGUAAAUACCAUUAUAAUACAUAUAACAUGAUUUUUUGUACAAGCAUAAACAACCAACCGGUAAUCCUUCACCUUUGAAAAUAUUCUUUGUUGCUUGAACCAUGGUCAAAUCCAACAUUUCUAAAAACAGCCAGUGUAUUUGAGUGACUCUGAUUAGCUUCUUUGAAGGAAAUUUCAUGAACUUUGUAGGCUCCAAUAAAACCUACAAAAACAACAUGAAUAUAAACAUACAUCACAGGACAAAAGAGUACAAUAUGAAUAUAGCAGACAUUUCCAGAAAAUUUAAGAAAGUAAGCUAAAAGGAUAGUGUCCAAUGGUUGAUGGAUAUAAUGGAAAGAAGUAAAAGAACUGAAAUACGAAUUCGUUAUAGAUUAGCUAUAAAGUAUAAUGUGGACAAAGCGGGUUCCAUAUUAGAUCCUCCAUCCUUUAGAAAGCUAGGUUCCCCCAGUACAUCUGUUUGCAUCACUCUACAUUCUUAAUAAACUGUGAAGAACUACCAAAAUCAAGCUGAAACACUUCAUCUGAAUUUUGUCAUCACUCUUCAUCAACUACUCUCAGAAUAUAAUGAUUUUAUCAUACAUGGAUCAUGACAAAUGGGCAAUGCAAUGAUACUGCCAUAAUAAAAACAUAAAAUAUUACUAUAGCACAAGUAGAACAUCAAUAGUGACACGUUAUGUCAAUUAUCAACUGAUAACUUUGCAAAGAAUCAGAAUAUACCCAUGCGUAUAUAUGUUGCAUCAUUAAUUUUAUAAAUGGAUGAUCCAGCAUGAGAACCAUGGAAUUGGAAACAAAGAAAUAGAUAUCAGAAGGAAGUAAAUACUAUGUUUGUGCAUACGAAAAAACAUAAUACAAUGUGCUUACCGAUAUUCCAUCUUCAUCUCAAUAAGACAUUCAAUUACCUUGUCAUUCCCAGCAAGAACAAGAUGUCGUGGCCACAUUAAGUGUGAACCCACUUCCUACGUCAUUUUCAUGAGCCCUUCCUUCGUUGGGAUGGAAAUUGCACAUUCAUCAUCUAAGACAACAUCUACUGAUACCUUUAUGUUGUCACCGUCACCUUCUGCAUCAAAUAUUAUCUCGUGGGCAAUGAUAUUAUCUUGUGUUUCAAACGCCAGCGUACACGAGGUCCCAACCUACGUAGAAGUAUAUGUUAAAUAUGUGUAUGUACACUUAGUAAAAAACUGUCCACUUAUUAAAGUAUUUGUGAAACUAACCUUCAUUUCACAUUUGAUCUCGUAUCUUCCACAUUCUCUUCUUUCUUCACUUCGGCCAUGUCAUCUGCCGCUUUCUCUAGUUCUAGAUUAAAGGCUACGUAUUCAACCUCAUCAUAUGAAUCCCUUUUGAUUGAUGGUGCUCCUUUUGAACACAUAUUCGGUUGUUCUUCUUUGUCUCCUUUGCCACCCUCAUUUUUUUUUCCUUCUUUCUAGCUUCACUUCAACUCCUUAAUUCUAUUUUGCAUUUCAUCUUGUUUUCAUACACUAUCUUUUUCUUUGUGACGUACUUCCCCACGCCUCAGACUAUGCCUGAACGAUCUUCCCACCCAAUGCUUGGGUUAGUACAUCGUCACCGCCUGGUUACGUGCCUUCGGGUCGCCUAAUAGAUCGUCCUAACAUAGUAGAAAAAAUGGAAAUUAUAAGUUGCGAAACCAUUCAACUAAAAAAAUGAAUAAAAUUUUGUCAACGCAUUAACUUACUAUAACAUUGACAACAUCCUUCGUCUCUUUAUAUAGGAAUUCUCUCUUACGAUCCAAGCAUGCAUGUUUCCAUACUAUCGAUCGAUCUAUUUGAUUUGUCAAAGAAGACGCACGCUAUAUAAAGAAUAUAUGUUAUAUAAGUAUAAAUAUAUAACAUAUAUGUAGAUUCAAUAAAUAGCAUUGUUCAAAUAGAGCAUAUAUAAAUGUUAAAUCAACGAUUUUUUUCCUUCAUACCACUUAGCAAGUGGUAUGUGACUCCUCUUUACUUUCCCUUCCCCUCCCUUCAAUAAUAUACAUCUUUAUAAUUUAUGUUAAAGAGGUGGACAACCUAGUUGAAUGGUAAGAACUGGGAAAUAAUAAUGUUAAAGCUUUUUUAAGAUAAAAACAUUUUUAAAGCUUUUUCUAAGAUAAGAACAAUGGACAACCUAGUUGAAGUUUCAUGAAUUAAUGUAUGAUUAAAAUUAUAAGAAAAGAAGAUAAGAACAAUGAAGCUAUUCUAAUAUUUACAAGCAGUCCAGCCCUAAAUGCAUAUCUUCUAAGCAUACAAAAUAAGUAAAUGUAAAAAUUGAUUUAAUGGAAAACAUCCACAUAUUGCUAAAAUUGUACUACCAACUCCAAAUACAGACAAAAUCAUGUGCAAUUAGGGAUAAUAGAUGGCUUCUAAUCAAAUAUAACAAAGAUCAUGACUUACCAACUCCUCAACGAGAUUUGCAUACCCCUUGCAAGAUGUUCUAUGGUUGUAUUUCUAUAGCUUCCUUUUUCAGAUAUCCUUCUUUACUUUUUUUCUGUAGAAAAAAUUGUAUCAACUCAAUUCAAUUAACAUAUUUAGGUAACAAAGUGUAUAUAAAGUAUAACAAAUUGUUUGAAUCUUCAUACUUACUUCAAAAUCUUUCUUCAAGCAUGAAGCCACAAAUUCAACCGAAUGGUCUUGUUCGAUGAAUGAAUACUCAACUGGUGGAUGUUUUAAUUUCUCCACAUCGUCCUUAAAUAGCAGUACGUAUGUAGUUGUCAAUUAAUCUGGACUUAAAUCCACGAAGCAUACUCCUGCAUUUUGAAUUAUACUUUUCUUCGACUUUGGGUCAAGAAUGAAGCCGGCCUAUGAUGUGAAAAACACAUCAAAAGUAUUAAAAUUGUUCUAGUGGAGGGUUUAUUAUACUUAAAAUCACUUACUAGGAUUUUUACAUCAAUUAGUUCAAAGAUCUUAUCCUUCGUCUCUUUGGGAACGACAUGCCAACAAAGUAUGUGAUUGGAACGUGAAACCUUACGAUCGUUCCAAUAACAAUUCGUUGUAUUGAACCACCAUUCUAUGCCCCUCACUACUAAAACGUGUUAUCUUCCUCACUCCCGUAGAGCUACAUUUUCUUUUCUGGCUACUGCUUUCCCCUCUUCCAUGGGGUGUAGCAAGCUGAUCAUCAUCUGAAUGAACCAUUACUGCAAACAUAAAUGUAAUUUCAAACAUAACCCAAGAGACUUUUAGUAACAAUACUCAUGUAAUUGUAAAUAUGAAUUGUGAAAUAACUCAAAAGUCAUAACAUAACCGAAAAGUCUACUAUUAUAACCGAAACAUGACUUUCAUAGUUAAAUGUAAAUCACCAGUUGGUUCUCAAAUAAAUUAUGAAACGAUUCAUGCACAAUUACUUACGUAAAGGUCAUAAUAACUAUGGUAGAACACAUAACACUUUCAAAUUAUAAUAUUUAAUACAUAAAAUUCUUCGAAAUUUGAAAACAAAUAAACUAUUGAACAUGAAAUGACAACUUAAUAACAGUAGAUUCUGAAGUAGUCAUAUUUAAAAAUGGAAUUGUCCUACAAAGGAGAAAAAAAUGACAAUCAUUAACAGUAUGUAAUGAACAUUAAACACAACCAAAUAACGAAGCGUGCUCAUCUUAAUAUACAUACUUCUCCAAGUCAAUUAGUAACCCAUGUGCCUUCACAAUCAGGUCUAGCAUAUGUUUCCCUACCUUCAUCAAUAUCACAUGUUGUUGUCCAUUUUGAGAGUGGGAGAUAGUGCGGUAACAUGUCUCCUAUGUCAUCAUCAACACAUUUGUAAGGAAAAUCCUUCUCUGGUGGCAACACAAAAACGAAUCAUCUUGCAUCAACAGGAUCUGUGAAAUAGAAUACUUGUCUCUCGUGUGUGGCAAUAAUGAACGAAUCUGAAGAGUGUCAAAUUUGGUUAAGGUCCAGCAUUGUGUAAUUAACAUCGUCCAUUUGAACACUAGCAUUAUUUUCAACCUUAAACGUAUUGUAGUUGACUUCCAGAAUCUCUUGAAUCCUUCCAUAGAAAGACAUGUCACAAACGAUCAAUUUUUUUCCCUUCACACUAGACACUUGCAUUAUUGUUGCAACUAACAUAAUCCCACUAUUUUGAACAGUUCGAUGGUCAUCAUGAGACUUCAUGUGGUAAGAAGAUCCAUUAAUCAUAUUCCCCUCAUACGUCAUUAAAUUAGGGUGGGGUCCAUGUGCAAGCCAACAUAUGGUAUUCGAGACAACCUUUCCUUCCUGUAAUUCACUCAUCACUUAUUGAAGAGAAUAGUCAGUUGUUUUAACUAUUAAACAAUUAGACGAAAUGAAAAUGUAAUUUGAUUGUUUAAGUACUUGAUCAUGUAACCAUGCACCAAAUGAUCGAUUAUGUUCAACUUGUAGCCAUUGUUCAUUUUUUGCUCUUCUUCGAUUUUCCAUCUUUAAUUGGUUCAAAUGUUGUCUACAAAAUGUUUCAUACAUUAAAAUGGUUACUUGAGGGUAAUUAAUAGCAGUAUAUAAUCAUAUGAAUGAUUACUCUAUGUAUGGGUGCACUUCUUCAGUGUUCUAUAAAACAUGAAGAUGUACUUGCUUCAAUUGUUGCACAUCAGGUCGAACGUAUGUUCCUGCUGACAAUGGUUUAUCGCUUUUUCUGUCCUCCCUUGAAUCGAGUGACCCAAGUCCAAUAGGAUCUAAUCCAGAAAGAAAAUCUGAACAAAAUUCAACAACCUCCUUACAUAUUUGUGCUUCUGCAAUGCAGUCUUCUAGGCGAGUUCUAUUACAAACAUAACUUUUCAAUACUUUCAUGCAUCGUUCAAAUGGUUACAUCCACCACAAAUAUACAGAUCCACAAUGCUUUACUUCUCUCACGAGAUGAACGACAAGGUGAACCAUAAUUGUAAAAAAUGUGGGUGGAAAAUACUUCUCAAGAUUGCAUAAAGUCAUAACUAUAUCUUCUUGCAAUGCAUCAAGAUCUUAGACGAAAAAACUUUUAGCGCAUGUCGCAUUGAAGAAAAAGCAAAGUCUCCUGAUAGUGUACCUCACAUUAUUUGGUAGGACUGAGCAUAUUGCAAGUGGAAGAAGUUGUUGCAUUAAAACAUGAUAGUCAUGCGACUUAAGAUCGAUUAGUUUUAAGUCAUCCAAAAAGACAUGAGUUCUAAUAUUUGAUGAAUAACCUUUUCGAACUUUAAUUUCAGAUAAAGUCUUACAAAACCGAUACUUCUCUUCUCUUGACAAUGUAUAACAUUCCACAGGUAUAUGGUACUAAUUAUGGUCAAAUUUUCAUUACAAAUAAAUCAAGUCUAGUAUUAAUCUUAUCUUUACUUUUUUCUGAUAUAUCAAGCAAGGUGCCCACUAUGUUCAUGCAUACAUUUUUUUCAAUAUGCAUUACAUCUAAACAGUGUCGUACAUGCAAGUGUUUCCAAUAUGGUAGUUGAAAAAAUUAUGGUCUUCUUUUCCAAUAGUCAUUGCCACCUUCAUGUUGAAAUGUCUACCCACACUUCUUCCCACAUGAAAAUAUCAUGUCUUUCAGCUUGAAGUAAAUGGCCUCCCGCAACAAGGGUUGUGGAGGACUUCCAUGCUCUUGCUUACCAUUAAAAAUUUUCUUUUGUAUUCUGUAUAGAUGAUGUCUUGGCAAAUAUUUCAUUUGUCCCGUGUAUGACUUUUUAUAUGUUGCAGUCUUAUUGAAGUAGUCUUCUCUCCAAAUAUUGGACAAGCCUUAUAUCCUUUGACACUAAAACCGCAUAGAUUAUCGUAUGCUGGAAAAUCGUUGAUGGUCUACAAUAAGACAGCCUCCAAUGUGAAAUAUUUUUUUUAUAUGCAUUGAAACAACGAACUCCAUCUUCCCACAACAUCUGUAGGUCAUCAAUUAAUGGUGCUAAGUAUGUAUUAAUAUCGUAUCCUGAUUGCUUUGAACCUGAUAUUAUCAUUGUCAACAUCAAAUAUUUUCUUCUCACACACAACUAUGAUGGAAGGUUGUAUAUUGUAGUAAUAACAAGCCACCAACUGUAGGUCGUCGACAGAUCUCUAAAUGUGUUAAUUCCAUCAGUGGACAAACCCAAAUGGAGAUUUCUUGGUUCUGACCCAAAGGUUGGCCACAUGUGGUCAAUCAACCUCCAUGAUGGAGUAUUAGCCAGGUGUCUCAAAAUACCAUCAACUUUCCUAUUCAUCGCAUGCCAAUGCAAGUUCUUAGCAUUUUCAAAUCUCAUGAACAUUCUUAUAAAUCUUGGAACUAUUGGAAAAUACCACAUUUUCUUGGUAGCCACACCACUUUUUUCCUGUUUUGAGUUCUUAGCGAUCUUCCACCUUGACAAACCACACUUAGGCACUUGGUCAUGUUUUCAUAUUCUUUUCUCUACAAACAACAAUCAUUAGGACAUGCAUCAAUUUUUUGGUAACUUAGUCCUAAGGCACCUAGUAUUUUCUUCGUGUCGUAUAAGGAACAUGAAAUUUCGUUGUUCUCAGGUAAUAAAUCACUUAUUAUGCAAUAACUUAGAGAAGCUAGUGUUACUCCAACCAUACCUAACCUUCAGUUUAUAUAAUCUCACGAGGACUGACAACUUUGUGAAUUUGUUACAUCCUAGAUAUAAGGGUUUCUUUGCGUCAUUGAACAUAGUUGGAUGCAUUACAAGAUUGUUCUUGAAUGAAUUCAACCAUAUUAACUGUAUUAAAUAAAUCUUCGUUUUCAUCCAUUGUAUUUUCCAUUAUGCUGGUACCGUUAUCUGAGUUCAAAUCUAAACCAUGCCAGAACCAUAUUAACUGUAUUAAAUAAAUAUUAUUAUUAUUAUUAUUAUUAUUAUUAUUAUUAUUGUUGUUGUUGUUGUUGUUAUUAUUGUUAUUAUUGUUAUUAUUGUUAUUAUUGUUAUUAUUGUUAUUAUCGUUAUUAUCGUUAUUAUCGUUAUUAUCGUUAUUAUCGUUAUUAUCGUUAUUAUCGUUAUUAUUAUUAUUGUUAUUAUUGUGCAAAGUGAUUUGACUAUAUCUUUUUGUCAUAAAUUUGAGGAUAGCAUAAACAUUUCUUCUCAAAUAUCAGUACUAUCCAAGUGUCAGCUCUCUUUUACACAAAAUGAUUUAGCAAAACUAAAAAUGAUUUGCGAGGCAUAGACACCUCAACGGAGAUUCAUGUUUUCAAAGAAGUAUGGACAUAUAGCAGAGUUGAUGUACAUACCGGUGAAUCAUUUUGCGUUAAGAGCCAUAACUAAUUUUUAGGAUCCAACAUAUAAUUGUUUCACAUUUGGGUCGUGUGAUUUACUGUCAACCAUAGAAUAAUAUCAACCUAUGCUUAGCAUGCUUGAAAGGGAAAGGGAAAUUUUUUAUUUCUUUAACCCUAAGCAAACGACAAAAAAAACUUUGUCAAAAAAUUUAGAAAUCGUUCAUGCCACAGAAAUUCAAAAACAUAUAAAAGUUAAGGGUGUGGAAGAGAAUGUGUCAUUUGACUAUCUAAUAAAGAUGACACAAACUUACAUUGAUGAAGACAAAGGUCUUACUCUCUUGGCAUUAUGCAUUUAUGGAGCGGUGAUUUUUCCUUAAGCAAAAGGUUAUGUCGAUGGGAAAUUGAUCAGAUUAUUUUUUGAAAUAGAACGAGGAGUUGAUCCUAUAAUACCUAUAUUGGCUGAAACUUUUCGAUCACUUAACUUUUGUAGAAAUAAAGGGGCAGGAAAAUUGAAUUGUUGUGUUCGUUUAUUAUAUAUUUGGAUACACAACCAUAUCAAAUUUAUGCAGAGUUUAGGUGUCCAAGGUUAGAAUUAGUAGCCCAUGGAACUUAAUAUGAAACAUGGUUAGUGAGUUUGGUAUGGCAGUUUGGGACCCAACAUAUCCAAAGAAGGAGACUUGAGUGUCUUUCUUUUCAACAUUGAGUUCUGAAAAUGUCAUAUGGAAGGCUCAAUUGAUGCCUUUGAAGGCAGUGAUUUACAGAUGUGGAGAUUUUCAUAGUGUGCCUUUGUUGGGACCAUGAGGAGGUGUUAACUAUACACCAUUGUUAGUUUUGCGUCAGGUGUGGCUCAAAUAGUUUAUACUACCAACUCAUAAUCUAUGAGAAUCUGACUUUUCAUAUGAUCUUGAAGACUGUCAAGAGAAAAAACAUCGAGCAGUAUGUGCGUGGAAGUCUGUAAGGAAGAUAAAAGACAAAGGACACUAUGAAAGGGUUAUUAGUGGAUAUGAGGCAUGGCAGACAAACAGAAGGAAGAAUAUAAUAUAUACCUUAAGGGAGGUAGUUGAAAGAGUAGAAGAGACGAGCUCUGAACGACCAGACUAGUGGGUUGAGAAGACCAUUAAAUUAGAAGAGAAAAAUCGACUAUUAGAACAAGAGAAUGAGAAACUUCAAAAGGAGACGAGCCAAUGGAUGGAUCAUAUGACUUUUUUGCAGAAAGAGCUUGAAAAGACCAAGAGUUUCUUAAAAAAUUAAGAUAAGUUAGAAAAGAAUCUUGAGGUGUUAGAUAAAGAGAUGAGGCGAAUGAAUAAAGCGAAUAGAAGCUUGAAAAAUGAAAAGACAAUAUUACAGGCAAUAGUAGAAUCGCAAGAUGAAUAUAUUAAAGAUUUAGAAAAUGGAAAGGAAUAUUCUCUCGAGCUUGUCAAUGAUUUGAAUACAUCAAUUCGUAAACGGAAAGCACAAAUAGUAGAUUUGGAAGUACACAAUCAUUCUCUACGCCAAAUUGUUGAUAGCCUACAUGUGAAGAUGGUCGAGCACUCUGAAGAGUAUAAGAUACUGAAAAAUUAUGUUGAUUCCUUACACUAUCAACUUACUGCAUUUCAAAAUUCAAGUGAGAGGAUAGUGCAAGAAUACGAAUUAUUGAAGACAGAUUACAUGCAAAUGAAGGUUGAUUAUGAUUUGCAAAGGAGAGAUUUUCAAGUGUUAGUUGAACGUGUAGAUCAAACAAUUGGAUUUCUCAUAAUAGUGUCUAGAAGAGCAAAUGGUUUUGCCGAAUGGUUAGUAGUUGAUUUAAGGAUUAAUUUUUUCUCAAUACAACCUCAUGCAAAUGAUCUGAGUAGAUUCUUAAAGAUGAUAUGCAGAGAACUUGGACAUCUUGGUCGUUUUCAUUAAGCUGUUUAUUUUGCUAUUACGAGCAAUGAGAGUUAUUGUUAUUGCAUUUUGUUGUAUUAAUUUUAUUUUAGUUUGAUUUUUAUUCUGUCAAGUUUAUAUUUCAUGUGGAUUUAUUGUAUUUGAAUUUAUUAUUUAAUAAAAAAAAUCUUUUUUUUCUCUACUCUUUGGUCUUCAAAAGUUUUCAAAAUAAUCAAAGGAAAACAUUAGCUCACCCUACUCCAAUUCGCCAUCCUUACAAUACGAGGCAUAAAAUUCAAAUCAUGGAAGAACAAAAUAAAGACAUGGAUAAAAUGAGAUAAGAUAUUAAUAAUCUUGGGGAACAAGUUUCAAAAAUAUUAGAAUUGCUUUCAACAGGAAAAGGAAAAAUCGUUGUAGAAACAACACAAUCAAGCAAUCCAGUUCAAGACACCAAUGAUCCCAUUUAUCUCCCAGGAUUUACGCAACGCCACAUGAAUGUUCCACAGUCUCAAACCACUCAACAUUAUGUUGCUAUGAAGUCGUUAUUUGAUGUUCCACCUCCUGUCCUGGAUAUAGAACAAUUGGAAGCUGAAGCUAAAAUUCAAGACAUGGGAAUAAAUGAGAACACUGCAGCUAAGCAAAAGCUAGAUGUUUUGGAAGAAAUAUUGCGAGCAAUUGAAAGGACUGACGUUUAUGAAAAUAUAAUGCAACACAGUUGUGCUUAGUGUUAGGCUUGAUCAUUCCAGCAAAGUUUAAAGUUCCUGAAUUUGACAAAUAUGAUGGAUCAUCGAGUCCAACGAGUCAUCUUAUAAUGUAAUGUAGAAAAAUGGCAGCGCAUAUUGGUAAUGAUAAAUUGUUGAUCCAUUGCUUUCAGGAUAGUUUGACUAGUCCAGCUACUCGAUGGUAUAUUCAAUUAGAUAAUGCAAACAUUCAUGUUUGGAAGGAUUUAGCUGAUGCAUUUCUAAAACAAUACAAACAUAAUAUUGAUAAGACUCCAGAUCAUUUAGACCUGCAACGGAUGGAGAAGAAGAGUUAAAAAGCUUUAAAGAAAUAUGCUCAACGAUGGAGAGAUAUGGUCCCAGAGGUUCAGCCGUCAUUAACAGACAAAGAGAUGACAUCUAUGUUUAUGAAUACUUUGCGGACGCCGUUUUAUGAUCGAAUGAUUGGUAAUGCUACAACCAAUUUUACUAACAUUAUUGUUAUUGGUGAAAGAAUUGAAUAUGGGAUAAAGCACGGGAGGUUAACAGAGACUUCAGCUGAGUGUGGUGGAUUAAAGAAAGGAACAACAUCUAAGCAGAAGGAAAGUGAGGUUCAUGCAAUUGGUUUUUCUAAUUCAGGGAACCACAAAUCAACUUUUGGCCAAAGAAAACAUGAUUAAAAUUUUCCUUCAUAUAUAAGCAAUGUUACUCAUAUCCUUAUAGCAAUUAUGUACCAGCUCACUCACUCUCUGGAGCCCCAAAACCUGUUAAUUCAAACUCUUCUCAACCUUUUGUACAAGGUCAGGGUAGCAAGACCAACUAAGAUACAUGGCGAUUUGAUCCAAUUCCCAUGACAUAUACAGAACUUUUACCUCAGCUAAUUCAGAAUCGACAGUUAGCUUCUAUCCCAAUAAAUCAUGUACAACCUUCUUAUCCAAAAUGGUAUGACUCAAAUGCUCUAUGUGAUUAUCAUGUCAGAGGAGUGACACUCAACUAAAAAUUGUUUAGCUUUGAAAAGGAAGGUGCAAUCUUUAAUUAAUGUUGGAUGGUUAAGCUUCAAAAAAUCUGGUGAGAAGCCGGAUGUCAACAACAAUCCACUUCAUAAUCAUGAAAAAUUCAAAAGUGAACGUUGUAGAUUGCUUUGUUGAAAAGUGUAAAAAUGAAGCUCAUGAGAUGGUGAUGCCUAUGGAAACACUUUUUAAAUGUAUUUUCGAAGCAGGAUAUGUUAGUUUGGAAUAUUUGGACCCCAACAUAAGAUACGAAAGCAGACAUUGUAUAUUCCAUCAAGGAGUUGCAGGCCGCGUUAUCCAACAGUGUUAUAAAUUUAGAUCUAAAGUACAACAAUUUAUGGAUUCAAAGAUACUCACGGUAUACAGAGGACAAGGAAAAGAUGAGAUGAAAGACAAUAAAAUAUGUGCAUUAAUGGAUGAAGUUGAAAAAAAGGAAAAUUCCUUUUUACCAAGGCCUUUGACAGUCUUUUAUCAAGAAAGUCGUAAUAAGUCAACUUCCUGCAAUCCUAAACAACUCACUAUCCAAGUACCGCGUCCUUUCAAAUUUAAGGAUUUGAAAGCAGUGUAAGGUAUGAUUGCCAAGUCAUUACAGGUCCUUCAGUGGAUAAUAUAACAGGAAUCGGCGGGAUAACUCGAAAUGGAAGAUGAUAUAAACCAGAUAAUUUAACAACUCCUUCAGGUAGUUUGACAUUGGGGCAAGGGAGGAAAAAUGAGAAAAGAAAUGUGAAUGAACAUGACAAAGAGCAGGAUGUAGAGAUGUCUAUCAUAGAAAAAAAUAUAGAAUGCAAAAAACCUGUUGCAGAUGAGGAAGUAAACAAAUUCUUAAAAAUACUAAAACAAUGUGAGUAUAAGAUCAUAGAGCAAAUGCAUCAUAUUCCAGCUCGAAUUUCUUUAUUAUCUUUGUUUUUUAAUUCAGAGCCUCAUCGCAAAGUGUUAUUAGAUAUUUUGAACAAGGCACAUGUUGGACAUGACAUUUCAGUGGAAAAGUUCAGCAGAAUUAUUGGAAACAUUAUGUCUUCAAAAUUCCACGUAUAGUCUUCACGGAUGAUGAAAUUCCUUCUGAAGGUUUAGGGCAUAUAAAAACACUACAUAUUCAAGUAAAGUGCAAGGACUAUGUCAUAUCGAGAGUUUUAGUGGAUAACGGCUCCGCUCUUAAUAUAAUGCCUAAAUCUACACUAUUGAAGCUUCCAGUGGACAUGUCAUACAUAAAAAGCAUGCACUAUGGUUGUGAGAGCUUUUGAUGGGUCACGAAGAGAAGUAAUUGGUAACAUUGAAUUACCAAUCAAAAUUGGCCCAUGUACUUUCAAUAUAGUCUUUCAAGUCAUGGAAAUAACACCUACUUACACUUUUUUAUUAGGACUUCAUUGGAUUCACUCUGCAGGAGUGGGGCCAUCCACGUUGCAUCAAAAAUUGAAAUUUAUUACUGGGAGUAAGAUGAUUUGUUUGAUGGGAGAGGAAGAUUUCCUUAUAACAAAACUGAUAUCAACCCCAUAUGUUGAGGCAGAUGAAGUAAUAAAGUCACAUAGGCCUAAAAUGGAAGUUAUGACCACUAGGUUGAUGAGAGGUGGAGGAUAUUCUUUGAAUCAAAGCUUAGAAACACUAACACACCAAAUAAUGAUGAAAAUUUUGGUUUGGGCUAUAUGUCAUUCGUAUAUGAUAAGAUUAGGCUUCAAGAAGAAAAGAAGAAAAACGUUUGGCAAAGCAAGAGAUGAGGGAGCUUGAUCCAAGUCUAAAAUUUAUACCAACAUUAUAUGAUACUUUCAAGAGUGCUGGUAUAAGUUACUUAUCACAUGACUCUGAUUCAAAUGAUUGUUUGUUAACGAAGAUGGAGAGUAUAUUAAUUGCAGCAGUGGCACAAGAAGCAUCAUUUGAAGGCGAAACAGUUUAUGCAUGUCCAUCUGAUUUCGAGCUUAACAAUUAGGAUGUUUUAGAUCUACCUACAUUCUCAAAAGAUUUUCAAGAGUAAUGAUUAAACUUUUAUUUGUCAAAUUUCUUUAAUUUUCUAGUGGCUCUACCCAAGGCCACAAUAUUUUGUUUGCUUUACAACAUGAAUGUUUUUUUUUUUUUUUUUUGUUAUUUAAUGAAAUCUUCACAUUUUUUUUUCUUUCUUGCGUUUUGCAAAUUAAACACAAAAGUUUAAACCUUUUCAUAGACAACAUUCAUAAGAACGAAGAUGUUAGUAAUUUCGGUUUUACCCUUGAUACCUUAAUAUACACUAUGGAAUCUGACAAAGAGAGUGACGAUGAAGAUGUUCGGAAAAUAUCUUCAGAACUGUUAAGAUUAAUAGAAGAAGAAGAUAAGAUCCUAGGUCCUCACUAAGAGCUAGUUGAAGUAAUGAAUUUGGGUUCUCAAGAGGAAUAAAAAGAGGUAAAAAAUUGAAACAUCAAUGACUAGUAAAACUCGAAAAAAAAAUAAUCAAUUUUUUACAUGAGUACUCAGAUAUUUUUGCUUGGAGUUAUCAGGAUAUGUCAAGGUUAAAUACAGAUAUUGUAGUACAUCGUGUUCUCCUUUGAAGCCAUAAUGCAAUCCAGUAAGACAAAAGCUACGUAAAAUGAAGCCUAAUGUAUUGAUUAAAAUAAAAGUUGAAGUACAUAAAAAAAUUAAAGCAGGGUUCCUCGCAGUCUCCGAAUAUCCUGAAUGGGUGGCAAACAUUGUUUGAGUACCCAAAAAAGAUGGAAAAGUGAGAAUGUGUGUGGACUAUAGAAAUUUAAAUCAAUCCAGAAAAAUUGAAUGAGGAUUGUGAAAAAGCUUUCAACAAAAUUAAGCAGUAUUUGCAGACCACCUAUAUUGAUACCUCCAGCUCCAGGGCGACCGUUAAUCCUAUACUUGACAGUAUUAGAAGGUUCUAUAGAUGGUGUUUUAGGACAACAUGACUUAUCAGGGAAGAAAGAACACGUUAUUUAUUAUUUGAGCAAAAAAUUCAUUGAUUAUGAGUCAAAAUACUCAAUGUUAGAGCGAACUUGUUGUGUUUUGGUAUGGACUACUCACCGUUUGAGGCAAUAUAUGUUAUAUCAUACGACAUGGCUUAUUUAAAAAAUGGAUCCAAUAAAAUAUAUUUUUGAGAAGCCGUCAUUAUCUGGGAGGAUUGCAAAAUGGCAAGUAUUGUUGUCAAAGUAUGAUCUUAUUUAUGUUACUAAAAAAGCAAUAAAAGGAAGUGCAGUUGCUAAUCAUUUAGCUGCCCAACCAGUAGCAGAUUACGAGCCAAUGAGGGUUGAUUUCCCUUACGAAAACAUAUUUCUAGUUGAAAAGGAUGUUAUAGAUCAUGAGACAUGGAUUAUGCUUUUUAAUUGUGUCUCAAAUGAGUUGGGACAUGGAAUUGGAGCUGUACUAAUUUUCCCAGAAGGAAAGGUAUUUCCCCUAACGACUAAGUUAUGUUUUGAUUGCACUCACAAUAUCGUUGAAUAUGAAGCAUGUACUAUGGGACUUCAAGCAUCAUACGACAUGAGUAUUAAAAAGUUAAAAGUUUUGGGUGACUCAAUGCUAGUAAUACAUCAAGUCAAGGAAGAAUGGAAAACAAGAGAUAUUAAAUUAGUGUCUUACAGCCAAUACGUUGCAAAAUUAUCUCAAAAUUUCGAGAAAACUUCAUUUGAUCAUGUUCAUAGGGAAGACAAUCGAAUAGCAGAUGCAUUAGCCACCCUGGCAGUGAUGUUUAAUCUUAACCUUGAGUGUGAACUUUAUCCAAUCCAAAUUACAAAGAGAGAUGCGCCGACAUAUUGCAUGAAUAUUGAAAAUGAUAAUAAGUCAUGAUAUUUUGACAUCAAGCAAUACAUAAAGUGUAGAGAAUAUCCAUAUGGAGCUUUAGAGAAUGACAAGCGCACAAUAAGAAGGUUGGCCAUGAACUUUUUCUUAAGUGAUGAAGUUCUUUAUAAAAGAAACCAUGAUAAUGUGCUCCUUCGGUGUGUUGAUGUGGAAUAAGCAAAACAAACUAUGACAGAAAUUCAUGAAAGAAUAUGUGGAACACAUGCUACUGGACAUAUGAUGGCUAGACAAAUACUUAAAUUUGGUUACUAUUGGACAACGAUGGAAUCAGACUGUAUAAAAUAUGCAACGAAAUGUAAAAAGUGUCAAAUUUAUAUGGAUAAGAUCCAUGCAGCAACAUCUCCAAUGCAUGUCUUGUCAGCACCCUUGUCGUUUUCUUUGUGGGGAAUGGAUGUUAUUGGGCCCAUUGAUCCUUGCUAAAGCCUCAAAUGGUUAUUAUUUUAUUCUUGUGGUUAUUGAUUACUUCACUAAAUGGAUAGAGGCGACAUCUUACUAUAACGUUACAAGAAAAGUGGUGCUCAAGUUUAUCAAGAAAGAGUUGAUCAGUCGUUAUGUUCUUUCGAAGGGUAUUUUUACAGAGGCCAAGAACCUUAAUAACAAAAUGAUGGAUGAACUUUGUGAGCAAUUCAAGAUCAAUCGCAUAAAUUCGACUCCAUAUCGCCCCAAGAUGAAUGGGGCAGUUGAGACAGCCAACAAAAAUAUUAAAAGAAUCAUUGAGAAGAUGACAACAACAUACAAAGAUUAACAUAAAAUUUUACCGUUUGCACUGCAUGGAUAUCAACAUCAGUUCAUACUUCAACAGGGGCAACACCAUUUUCUUUGGUUUAUGGUAUGAAAGUUGUCCUACCUUUGGAAGUUGAGAUACCUUCAUUGAGAGUUCUGAUGGACGCUAAGCUAGAUGAAGCUGAAUGGAUACGACGACGUUAUGAGCAGUUGAAUUUUGUUGAAGAAAAACGUUUGGCAGCAUUAAGUCAUGGACAAUUUUACCAAAGAAGACUAAUGUGUGCAUACAAUAAAAAAGUGCACCCUCGAAGUUUUCAAGAAGGAGAUUUGGUGUUAAAAAGGAUAUUUCCAUUUCAAAAGGAUCAUCGAGAAAAAUGGACUCGUAAUUAUGAAGGUUCGUUUGUGGUGAAAAAUGCUUUUUCAGGAGGAGCUUUGCUUUUAACCAAUAUGGAUGGCGUUGAGUUAAAAAAUCAUGUGAAUUCAGAUUAUGUUCGAAGAUAUUAUGCAUGAGGCCUUUUCAUAGAAAGUUUCGUAGUGUUGAAAGAAGUCAGGGGUAUUUCUCGAAAACUUACAUUUAGUUCUUAGAAUGUUAUUUCCAUAUGUAUAAAUUUCUCCUUACCUCCUCUCUUUGUACUCCUAUUCCAAGAAUCAUUUUCAUUUCUUAUCAUAUUUAUCAAACAUUUGUUUAUUUGUCAAUCAUUCUUUCAUCCUUUUUGAAAUGUCAUCAAAUUAUAGUAAACAUCCAUUAUUCUAUCUAUUGUUAAUUAACAAAUAUUCAGUACAACUAAUUGUAUUUGCAAACCAAGUAAAAGCUAUGAUUUUCUCUUGUUAAGACUUAAGAAAAAUAUAGGUGUUUACAAGUCCAGACAAAUUUCUCUACAACUGUGAGUUGCUACAAUUGGAAGUCUACAUCCUAAAGGAUUCGCGUUUUGUGAAGUCCAAGACUAAAACACAUUAGGUCUUUACAACAUAGUGCAGUCUUACGCAGUUUGGAUUCGUUUGUUUGAUACGAAGAGUAGUGAGUUUGACAGCUUAAAAAGUUCUCGUGAUAUAUGUCUUAUUAUAUCAUAUAAUGACCAUGCUGAUAAAUUGUUAAUGGUAUUGGUAAAAUGGAGUAGUAAGCUAUUUAUUUCUUUAAAAAACAUAAUAUUUUAAAAUUAAAUUUCAACUCGGUUUAAAAGAAGAAUGAGUCCACAUUAUCAAAUCUAGCCCUAGUGCUAAGAUUGAUGUUUUUUUUUAUUUUAAAAUUUUUGGUUAAAUCGAGCUCAGAUCUGAAGCUGAGGUUGAAGUCUGUCUAUCGGGUCAUUUCCUUUAUUUAUCAAACCUAGUUCUAGAGCUAACAUUGAUGUUUUUUCAAAUUUGGUUAAAUCGAGCCCAUAUCUAAAGUUGAGGCUGAAGUCUGUCUAUCAUGUCCUUUCCUUUAUUUAUCAAACCUAGUUUUAGAGCUAAGGUUGAUGUUUUUUUUCCAAUUUGGUUAAAUUGAGCCCAGAUCUGAAGCUGAGGUCAAAGUCUGUCUAUCAGGUCCUUUCUUUUAUUUAUCAAACCUAGCCCUAGAACUAAGGUUGAUGUUUUUUGAAAUUUGGUUAAAUCGAACCCAAAUCUAAAGGUGAGGUCGAAGUUUGUCUAUCAGGUCCUUUCUUUUAUUUAUCAAACCUAGCCCUAGAGCUAAGGUUGAUGUUUUUUUUUAAAUUUGGUUAAAUCCAAAUCUAAAGUUAAGGUUGAAGCCUGUCUAUCAGGUCUUUUCCCUUAUUGAACUUAGUCAAGUUCUAAAAUUGAUGUUUUUUCAAAUUUGAAUAAAUCGAGCACAGAUCUGAAGCUGAGGCCGAAACCUAUCUAUUAGAUCCAUUAUUUAUCAUACCUAACUUUGGAGAUAAGGUUGAUAUCCUUUUCAUUUGAUAGUAUUUUUGUUCUUUCUUCAGGUCUCUCCCUAAAAAGUAAAAAAAUUGACUCAAAUACUUUAUCUCUUUCAUUUGUCCACCUUUAAAUAUUUUCAGGAUGGACAAAUGGGGACAAAUUGUAGAUACCGUAUUUUGUCCUACAUUUAUUUGUUUGUUUAUUUGUUUUAAUAAAAGAAUUUGAAUUUAAAUUUGAAUUUUAAAUUUUAAAUUUUAAAUUUUAAAUCUUAAAUCUUAAAUUUUAAAUUUUAAAUUUUAAAUUUAUGUUUUAAAACAAAAAAUAAAAAAACAAAAACAUAUUUAAAAAAAAAUAAAAGUUGUUUCCUUUUCCUAUUUUUUCUCAAUCAUCUCCUAUUUUUGUUUUCCUUCGUCACCACACUCAUACUCUCUCACUUUCUCCCACUCUCUCACCUUGUCCCACUUUCUCUCGAUUGUCUUUUCAAUCUACUUCAGUUACUGAUCUAAAAAUAAACGAUCAAACUUGCCCUAAACCUUUGCCCAUAAAAAGAGAAUGAGGAGAUUCUUUCUAGUGAAGAUUUUGAAAUUCAAGGCACGUAAAAAAGAAAUAUUUUCAUCUGUUUGUGAUUUAGGAAGAGAUUAAGAGAUCAAGAAGGAAACAUUUUGCUGUGAAUUUAAGGCAGACGUAUUGGUAAGUUUUCUUUAGGUCCAUUUAAUUAAAUUUAUUGUUUUUUUUUUUAAAUUCAUGGUUGAUGAUUCUGCGUUAAUUAUUUGGCACUCAUUUUGGUUGUUGUGUUAAUUAUCGAUUUGAAUUACUCAUUUGGUUGUUGUGUUAAUGAAUUAGUGUCGUGCAUCAUGCGUUAAUUAUUUGGCACGCAUAUGCGUUUCGUGUUAAUUAUUCAUUUGACUCAUAUGUUAAUUAAUCAUUUGAUUAAUUAAUUAUCAUUCAUGUUAUGUUAAUUAUUUGGCUGCUGCGUUAAUUAUUUGGUACUCAUUUUACCUGAAGUGUUAAUUAUGGAUUUGAAUUAUUCAUUUGUCUGCUGUGUUAAUUAAUUAGUGUUGUGCAUCAUGCGUUAAUUAUUUGGCACUCAUUUCGGUGCUGCUUAACUAUUCAUUUGAAUAACUCAUUUGACUCCUAUGUUAAUUAAUCAUUUGAUUAAUUAAUUAUCAUCCAUGUUAUGUUAAUUAUUUGGCUGCUGCGUUAAUUAUUUGGUACUCAUUUUGCAUGAAGUGUUAAUUAUGGAUUUGAAUUAUCCAUUUGGCUGUUGUGUUAAUUAAUUAGUGUUGUGCAUCAUGCGUUAAUUAUUUGGCACUCAUUUCGGUGCUGCUUAACUAUUCAUUUGAACAACUCAUUUGGCUCUUAUGUUAAUUAUUCAUUUGAUUAAUUAAUUAGCAUCAUGCAUGUUUUGUUAAUUAUUUGGCACCCAUUUGGCUUUAUGUUUUAAUUACUCUUUGUUAAUUAUUCUCAUGUAUUAAUUAAUUAAUCCUGCAUCUUGUGAUAAUCAUUUGACAUCCUGCAUUAAUUAAUUAGCAUGUUGACCUACUUUAAUUACUUGACACUCAUUUGACAUUCUGAUUUAAUUAUUUGUAUUAAUUUGGCUAGUGUAUUAUUUAUUUGUAUUUUGCGUUAAUUAAUUUGCAUACUGACAUACUUUAAUUACUUGGCAUCUAUUUGUCAUUCUAUAUUAUGAGUUAUUUAUUUGUAUCUUGCAUUAAUUAAUUAGCAUGCCAACCUACUUUAAUUACUUGACAUCCAUUUGUCAUUCUAUAUUAUGAGUUAUUCAUUUGUAUCUUGCAUUAAUUAAUUAGCAUGUUGACCUACUUUAAUUAUCUCCCAAAUGGGUGUCAAAUAAUUAACGCAUGAUGCACGGCACUAAUUAAUUAACACAACACCCAAAUAGUAAUUCAAAUUGAUAAUUAACACAUAAACCAAAAUUGGUGUCAAAUAAUUAAGGCAGAAUAAUCAACAUGAAUUUUAAAAAAAAAAAUUAAUUAAAUGGACUUAAAAAAACUUAACAACAAAUCUGCCUUAAAUCACAACAAAAUGUUUCUUUCUUGAUCUCUCAAUCUCUUCCCAAAUCACAAACAGAUGAAAAUAUUUUUUUUACGUGUACCCUUGAAUUUCAAAAUCUUCCCCAGAAAGAAUCUACUCGUUCUCGCAAAGGUUUAGGGCAACUUUGAUAGUUUAUUUUUAAAUAGUAAGUGAAGUAGAGUGAAAAGACUAUAGAGAGAAAGUAGGAGAAGGUGAGAGAGUGGGAGAGAGUGGGAGAGAGUAGGAGAGUGGGAGAAAGUGGGAGAGUGGGAAGGUAUGAGCGUGGUGACGAAGUAAAACAAAAAUAGAAGAUAGUUGAGAAAAAAUAGGAAGGGAAACACCUUUUUUUAAAAAAUAUAUGUUUAUGUUUUUCUAUUUUUUGUUUUAAAACAUAAAUUUAAAAUUCAAAUUCUUUUAUUAAAAAGUAAUAAAUAAAUAUAGGACAGAAUACGAUAUCUAAAACGGGAUCAAUAUUGUUCUUUCUGUCUUAAUCUUGAUGUUAGGAUAUCAAUAGUGCAAUAAUUGCAACAUGAAAUAUAAUGGUUGUUGAUCAAAUUAAUUUAAUUUCGUUUGUGAUUUUUCUUUACUUUUUUCAAUGUGUAUUUUGAGUUGAAUCUGAUUUCAAGUGAUUUUGGUUUUAUUUUCUACAUUGAUUUUGUUUUUGUUUUACUUUUUCUCAAUUUUGUAUAUCAUUAUUGUGAUGUACUUAUAUAUAUGUAUUAGUUGGAUGGUAUACUUAAUACAUGAUUUUCAUUUUUUUCAUGUUUUAUGCAAUUCAUUAUCGUAUUAUUAAAUAUAUGAAUGAUAUAACUGCGUGUACCAUUAUCAGGUUUAUGAACAAGAUAUUAUUAAAGUAUAUUAGUAAAGUGAAUCAUAAUCAGGUAUAUGAAUCAAGUUUACAAUUAUAUAUCAAUAGUGUAUCAAAGUGUAUAAGUAGGACUUCAAGCAUAUCAAGUGUAUUUAAUCAAUCAAAUGUAUAAGUGAAGAAUAAUAUUAAAUGUAUAUGUAGUGCAUCAAACAUAUCAAAUUUGUUUAGUGUACCAAUGAAGUAUAACAAGCUUAUUUUGUGGUGCAUCAAGUGUAUCAAACUUAUAAGUGAAGCCUUUAAAUGUAUCAAGGUCUAAAGGGUAUAAAGUGCAUAAAAAAGAAUAAAAUAUAGCAAGGAGUAUUAGGUGUAUCAAAUGGUAUCGAAUGUAUCAAAGAGCUUCAUAGUGCAUCAAGUGUAUCAAGAUCCAAAAGGUUAUCAUGAAGUAUCAAAUGUACAUCAAGCAUAUCAAGGAGUAUUAGGAAUAUCAAGGGAUGUUAGAUAUAUCAAAUGUAUAUUAGUGACAAUGGCUAUUGUGACAUUUUACAUCUUGUAUAUGUGGGCUAGACUUUACUUUUAUCAUUUUUGCAAACAAUAAAUUUGUGUGCGCUAUGGACUUAAUCAUUAUAACUUAUUUUACUUUUUUUUUUUUUUUGGAGCAUCUAGUAUAUAUAAAUUCAAGGAAGAAGAAAGAUCAAGAGAUUUUAAAAGAUUUCAUUAUAAUUUUUUAACUUCUCAAAUUCUCCACUUUUCCAAAAAAAAUACAAUAAUUACAAAUAAAUGCAUUAAAUUUGAGGAAUGAGGAAGUUUGAACGAUUUAAUGGAGUAUUUUUGUUAGUUAUAAAACUAAGAAUUUAGUAUCAACACAUUACUUACUGUCAAAAAUCUAUAUAAUGUAAGAAGACAAAAUAGUCCCCAACAUAAUGGUAGAAAUAUGUAUUGACAAAAGGACAAAAAUGGGCCACAAAGUUUAUAUAAGUUUUAAGAUUUUAUGUAUACGGUAGAUGUGAGAUGAAAAACCCAAAUUUGUAAGUUUGAAAUGAAUAGUAGAAAUGGUGUAAAAAAGUUGAUGGGUGUUCCUGUUGGCACUUGACAGCAUGGAAGAGAUUUGUUUAUAAUGUAGAAAAGGUGUGAAAUAUUAUAUUUAUUUAUUUGGUGGAAAGGUAUUGUAAUUAUUAAGCAAUAUUAUAUUUAUAGAAUGGGGAUAAUAAAUUAAUAAUAGGAAAGAGAAAAUUAGAGUAGGGAAAAAGAGAGGAUAAUAAUAAUAUUAUUAUGUAUAUUUGAUUGUGUGGGUGUUUCUAGUUGGCACAUCUUUCGUCGCUUUGUGGGAGUAGAAGCAGAUGAUGUGGAAAACUUUGGAUUGUAUUUAAUGCGGAGUCACGCGCGCUUCUUCUCGCCUUUUCACUUCACACGUGAGAUCUCACCUCUUCCGCAGCCACACCCAAACUCCCUUCUUUUCGACGCAUUGCUCGUGACGCCUCCGUUUUCCUUUAAAUGCUUUUCAUCUAUUUGCUAUACACUCUUGUAUUAUUCAUUCAUAUUCACAAAUUUUAUUAUAUUUAUAUUUUGAAUUCAAUUCUUAUAUUUAUAAUUAUCCAUGUAAUUUGAUUAUAAAUUUAAAUAACUUUUUUAAAAAAUACAAAAAUAUUAAAGCCAUUUAUGAUGCUAUAUUUAAAAAUCUCUGUGUGUGGAAUUAAAAUCUUGUUUUAUUAUCUAUAUAAUGAUUUCUUUUUUUUUUUUUUUUGUAAUUUGAUUCAUAAUUCUUAUAUUUUUAAUGAAUAAAUUGUAUAGAAUUAAUUUUUGCUAUCUUUAUUGUUUUGUAGAGAGUUUGAGAUAAGUUUGAUUUUCUUUGGUAUUGGUUCCUGCUCAAUUGUUUCCUAAGCUUCAUAUAUGUUUUUUAAAAAUUUUGACCCUUUUAAGUUCCAAGUUCUUUAAGAAAACUUUCUAAAACAAACUUUUCCUUUUCCUUUUAUCUAUGAGAUGAUCCACAACAAUACAACUUUGACAAUUUCGCAGACCCAAUUGAUUGUGGCAGACAAAGUCUCCAUUAUUGUCAUUAAUUAAUGUGAUCAAAUAUGAAAAGUGUUAGAAAAAUCUUAAUACUUAUGGAUAGUCCUUUUUCCUCUUGGGAUCAUAUUUAACAAUUCCACUAAGAUCUCCCUAAAAGCAUGCUAGUGAUAAAAAAAAAAAAACUCACUUUUCCUUUCAUCGUAUGACAACCGGAAAAGGGCAAAGCAAGGGCACUCCCAUUUUGAGGAGUCGAGAUCAUGGUUGGAGAAUCCUCGUUUGGGGAUCGAUUAGUGUUUCCAGUGAAAUUUGGGAUUCUUCACCUCAAACGAGAUGGGUACCCGGAAGGACACGACCUUGCAAGGAUUUUUGCCAUCUCUAACCUUAACCUUGUUGAGAUAGAAUUUUGAAUCUUUACUCGAUCUAAUGCCCAUCUUUAAAGCCUAAUUAGUCAUCACAAAUUUGUUUUAUAAAUAUGUGUGUAAGUCGCUAGUAAAACUAUGUUUUAUUUGUAAAUAUUUUCACGCGUUUUGGUUAUAUUUAGAAACAAUUUUUAAAAAAAGUUAUAAAAAAAAAAUGACAAAAUCAAAUAUUUACACACAUUCCAUUAUAAAAUCAAAUAUAUUCCAUUUUUGUUCCUUCGACUUAAAACAAAAAAAAGAUAAACAGCUUGUGUUUUCUAUUCCUAAAAAAACUAAAACUUUUAAAGUAUUUAAUAAGGUUUUUUCUCCAAUCUCAAAAUCGUUGAUUAAUCACUUUAAUGGCAUUUUUAGACGGUAUAGUACUUUAAUAUUUAUUGGAAAACAAAUUUUAAUUAAUCUAAUAUACUAAAGUUGUUUUUUCAUUCCAAUAAUCACUCAAUAUUAAUUUUAUUAAAAAAGAAUAUUUUUUCACAAAAAAAUUUAUCAAAAAAUAUAAUUUCUGAGUAUUUAAUUUAAAAAACAAUGCAUUUAAAAAAUACAAAAAUAGUUUUAGAAAUAAUUUAAAAGUUUAUUCUAAACAAAUCUCAUAAAAACCUUUUUUUAGGAAUGAAUUAGAAGAUAGGUAUAAUAUAUUUGAACAUGUUAUGUCAUUCAGUAAGUAAUCUAUGAGGCAGAGUAGGUAUUAAGAGUCGGUAUUAACAUAGCCUAAACUGAAGCUAUAAGCUGUGUAUGUAACAUCUUGUAUUAAUUAUAAGGAUAAAUUUUGAAAAAAUAAAAUAAAGUGGGAAAGUGAAGGCUAAUAAUAAUAAAUUAAUUACGUAUGAGAGUUUGAAUUUUGGUGGAAUAGGAAUAGUAGAUGAAAGUAUUGGGCAUUUGCGAUUUGAAAUAUGAUAUGACACGUAAUUCAAUAAACGAGGCAUUCAUUGGAUUAACGCUCUAUCCCACAUGUUAUGUCACAUUCAGAUAAAAUUUCGUACCCCUACCAAUUCCUUCGUUUCAUUCUCACGACAAAACUUGCUUAUUAAAUUAUGUGGCCCUUCACCAACAUGAACUCGUCUUUUAUAUAAAUUAAAACUAUUCUUUUCAAGUGGGUUUUUUAAAAAAUAUAUAACUAAUCGAUCAAAUAUUUAUGCUAUAUACAUCUAUAUCAAAAUGAUUUUGAAAAUGAAAAAAAAUCUACAAAGCAAUAAAAAAUACCAACAAUAUAUCAGUCAACACACGAUUAAUCGAUCACACGUGUUUCUACUAAAGCCCGAGCCUCCCUUCAAUUUUAUCGUUUUUAUAUAAUAUGUAUAAAGAAAACUAAUAAAUAUUUAAUAUUUGUAGAUAGUUCAGUGGCUACAGUGUUUUUAGUUUCUUUCCUAAAUUACAACUCGAAGUCUCAGUCAAUAAAUUUUAUAGAUCGGUCACUGCGUGUGCGAGUAAUCUUCUUCUAAAAUGAUCAAGUACUACAGUUUAAACGAAUUAUCUAUGAUCUACGAUCAUGUAAUUCUUUUUAAAUGAUGGAGAAAAAUGUUUUAAAUUUAAACGAUUGUGUUGACAAUGGCGAAUGAUUGCGUUGAUCAUGGCAAACGAUCGUGUUCGUUAUGGUAAGCAAUUGUGUAGUUUAAUGUAAAUUAUCGUUAAAAACUUCAAAUAUAGUGAUCGUGUUGACCAUGUUGAUUGUGGUAAGCGAUCUUUUAGAUAAUGAUACACGAUGGUGUAAUUCUUUUUAAAUGAUGGAAAAAAUGCUUGAAAUUUAAGGGAUCGUGUUGACUAUGGUAAACAAUCGUGCUGAUAAUUUAAAACGAUAUUUAAAUGAUCUUGAUAUUCUUAAAUAUGAUGAAGAUGAAGAAGAGUAUUGAAACAAUCAUGAAAUAGUUUCAAAGAACCGUUUAAAAAUAGAAGAAAAUAUGGAGGAGGAGAUGAAGAAAUCGCAAAGAAGAUGAAUGAUCACAAAGAAGAAGAAGAAAAAGAAGUGACAAAUCAUCCCACAAUAUUAAGAGCAAAUCUAAAAUUUAUAAAUACAAUGCAGUUUUAUUUUUAGGUAAUUGCAAUUGAUGACCAUUUUAUGAAUAAUAAUUAAGGACAUAACAAAAUUUUAAAAAAAUUGCAAAUAUAACAAAACCAUCGUUGAUAAACUGUCUAUCAGUGAUAGAUCAAUAUUUACAACAUGGUCUAUCCGUGAUAGACUUCUAUCAUUGAUAGAAUUUGACGAAUUUUGCUAUUUUUGCAAAUUUUUUAAAAUGUUGUUAUAUACUCAAUUAUUUUGAAUUUAAUUGCUAAAUUUGCAACUAUCCCUUUAUUUUUUGUUAGAACGACGGUAAAUAUUUUUUUAAUUUUAUUACAUUUAUGUAAGUUAUCCUAUUUUUAAAGUAUUUUAUUUUUAGUUUUAGAUUUUUUUAAAAUCAAACAUUAUAAAAAUUCACACUUUUCAUCCAAAUUUUAUAUUUUCAUAUCUAUUCUCUACUAAUAUUAAAAAAACAAAAAACUAUAUCUUAUUCUGAUCCGAAGAAAAUUGUAGUUUUGAAAGUGGAAUUUAUAAUUCAAACAAGUUGUGAGAUUAAAAAAAGAAAGAAAAAAACAAAAAUGUUAAGAAACCAUAUUUUAUAGUUGAGAAGUUGUUUGAAGUUUGAAAAUAUAAUUAAGCAGAGAAGUUAAUAAGAUAAAGGAGUGUUUUCAAACUUCAAUCUUUUUCUUUUAGAAAAAAUGGUCAUUAGAUUGGGAGACUAAUCAUUUUUAAUUGAUAUGUUUUUAUAAUUAAUAAACUCUUAAAAACUCAAAGUUUGGAAAAACCAUUUUAGUCAUUUAUAUGUUCACGUCCUAAUGUUGUUUUGAGUGUGUGUAUUAUUAGCUGGUCGAUGUGAAUGUAUAUUAAAAUCAUAUAUGUGUGGUUGGUUAACUAAAUCAAUCAAAUAAUGAAUAUUAAAUAACAAAAUAAUAUAGUUCGGCACCUUGUUAGGGAUAGAAAAAAGGAACUAUUUAUAAAAUAUAGCAAAAACAUUAAACAAAUGAGAGAGAGUGAUAGAUUUGAGUAUAUUUUGUAAAUAGUUUUAAUAAAAGUAAAUUUAACAAAAAUAUUUACUAACAUAGUAAAAUUUUCAGAUUCUAUCAAUAAUAGACAUUGUAUUAUAUACUUCUAUCAGUAAUAUUUUUUUUAGUAUGUAUCUCAUUCACGUCAAUUUUAACCAAUAGUUUUUAAAUGAAUCUCAUUCAUGUUAUUUAAUAUUUGAAUCUUAUCCAAAUACAUUGUUUUCUCAUAUUAUAUAGUAAAGUUGUGACUCUUAUCCAAAUUAACUUUAUAAUGUAACGUACCACGUACCUUCAACACACAUUUCCUUAUUAAUUAGAUCGAUUCAAAACUUUCCAAAACCAAAUAAUCCUUGUUUUAUCGUUGGUGAGAUAGCAAUGGAAUCUGAUAGACCUAUAAAUUAGAAACUCUAAUGAUUCGAGAUUAACUUAAUUAAACUCUUUAGUUAAAUCAAUCAACAUUUAUUAACUAUGAGUUAUUCCACUAAAGACCCAGAACUACACUCUUCACAUUGUAUGUAAGACCUAUAUCUAGGAUAAGAAGUAAAAAUUUGACUAAGUAUUCUAAAGCAGACGUUGAACAGUUUACACAAUAAGAGAUUGGCGAUUUGAAGUAGUAUGUGAGGAAACAAGGUUAUGCGAUGAGACGUUUAGUUUCAUUAUUUCUUGUUAGUGUAUAUUCGUUUCAUUACUAUUAUUUACCACUGCAUAUUUAAAACAUGUUAUGUGACACAUAUAGUUAUAUUAUUCAUUGUCAGGUAUGGUCAAAAUUGUUGUGAAUGUACAACAUAAAAAAUAUCAUAUAGUUUACAAUAUAUAUCAUAUAUCAUUAAACAUUAAACAUUAAGCAUCACACACAUAAUAUAUAAUUAAAUAGCAGACAUGCAUAAUACUUCAUAUAUAUUAAAUAUCAUUAAGCAACAAACACAUAAUAUAUCAUAUAUUAUACAACAUAUAUAAAAUAUCAUUAGUAAUAUCUUUCCUUAAUUGUAUUGAUACAAAUUUAUACUUUCACACAAUGUAAAAUUUGUUACAAAAAUAAAAUACAAUGUAGAAUAUGCACACAUACAUUGUUAUAUAAUAUUAUGUUAAAUAUACAUGAGUAUAUAAUGAUCUAUUUAAAUAAAAAAAAUUCAGUCACGGUAGGAUUUUACAUAUUAACUUCCAAUAUAUGAAAAACAAUGCAAAACUAAAGAAAAUGACGUGAUGUAUAUAUACUUGACUGAAUGUAAAUAGGGGUAUAUAUUGUAAAUUAUGUGGCAUAUAUACUUUAUUCACUUGUAAAUUUUCUUUAAUGAAAAAUUUUAACCAAAAAUUUCACUCGCAUGUUAUAUUUCACAAUUUCAGACACAUAAUUAAUAAUAUUAAAUAAAUAUGUAUUCAUCGGAAAAAUUUGAAGGAGAUGAACAGAAUAUGAAAGAACGCACGAAGAGAGAGAUCUAAAAGUGGGAGAGAGAUCAGACGGAGGGAAGAAUUUUUUUAACAAAAUCAUUAAAAGAAAAAUAAUUAAGAAUGUCACACCCCGCCCCAAGCACUUGCUCGCUCGACCCGAGACCGGUGUAAAGCCAACCGACGUUAUUAUUCUUCUGAACAACAUCAAUUGACCAUAACUAUAACUUUUAACAACCUAUAUGAAUUAAAACUUAUGCAACGGAAACUAAAAAAAAUAACUUGAACAACUUUUUAAACUUUAAACAGGUAGUCGAGGCUAAAUGUCAUUUAUUACAAACUUUACUUACAGACCAAACAAAAAUUAAACAACUUAAACUUAUGCAAAACCAUGUUCAUGAUAAGAUUAAAACUGACCCUUAAAACUAUCAACAAGUUUCGCAUUGCAGUCUGAAGACAACGGUCAGGUUCUCGGAUCACGGUCUCUACCUGGAAAGUGAAAAAAUAUUUUGAAAGGGUGAGCUAAAAAGUCUAGUGAGUGAUGGUUUUAUAAAACAGACUUUUAAAACAGAUACACUUUAAACAUUUCAUAAACAUAACAUAAAAUCUUUAAGAAAUCUCUUGUAACUAAACAUUUUCUAACAUUCAAAUACUCAUUUAACUUUGUAUACUCUAUACCCUGAAAAACAUAAACAAGAUAGCAGAGCUCCUUAUGUCAUACUAUCCCACUAAACCUCGGUUAAAUACUUGAUCAGGAUAGCAGGACAUCGAUCAUACUAUUCCUACCUAAACUUGGGCAAGAUAGUAGAGUACUGAUCAUACUAUUCUUGCCUGAACUCGAAGGUAGCGGCUAAGUGGUCAGCAUAGCCCUAUACCCCUGUUGUGUACAUUGACCAUCGAGAACUCGAUAUAUAAAGUACCAUAUUUUUCUCUUUAAAAACAUUAUAUUAAACUCAUUCUUUUCAUAAAUCAUUGCUAGUAAAUAUUAUAAAUACAUGUUUGCUAAAAAUGUUUCUAUACUCAUGUUUUAGAAUACUUCUCUAAAUAACAUGCUUUAACACUUUUCAUUAACAUAUUGAUAAAUAGAAAUAAGAUUCACUUAGAAGCAUACUUAAAUAAUAGCUUGUAAAACAUAUUAGAAAUUAUUUUAUUACUCAUUAAUCAUAGGUUAAAAUGACUUUAGUAAACUCAUUUUUCACUCACAAAUCACAUAUUAAACACUUGGUUGGUAUGCUUGUUCAAUUUUCUCUUGUCUUGAAAUAAUGAAAACAACUUCAAUUAAUUCCUUUUUAUUCUAAAAUAUCAAACACAACCCCAAAACGCUUAGAAAAACCUUUCUAAAACCAAAACGCAUGCCCAACAUGCCAUCCUAAUUUUUUAAACUUGGCCACUGUCCAAAAUCUCAUUCUCGGCCAGAACUUAGCUUCUUCUUUAGAUCUUUAUAACUUAAACUCCAUAACUCAAAUAAAUAUAUUUCCUUCUAAACAAUUAUUGCAAAAUGUCUUAACAUUCAUACCUCAAAAUUUCAACUUCAGAUUCCAAUGGAUGAACACUACAACCCUCUACAAGUCCACGUUGUUCAGAACCACCUAUAUUCUGACCUUCCUUGCUUUCUACAGCCAAAACGCAACUCUUCCUUACUCAAAUUAAACCAAAAACCCCAACUUAGAAAACAAACUCAAAAUAGAAACUUUUAAGACUAGUUUCACUUAAAACGCUUGAGUGGAUUGUGAGAAACUUAAUACUAAAGCUGGCCUAUUUGUAAAGUUCCUUGCAUGAGUACAAGUUGACACCUUAUCCUUGCUUAAAUCCACCUUAAACCUUCUUAAGGCACCUUCUGCUUACUUUACACCUUAUAAUGCAUGCUAACAAGGAUUUUACACCUCACUAAAAUCUUAAACCACUUGCCCUUAUCAUGCCACAUAGUUGUCCAAAACGCAUAGCUAACUUCCAAGAUCAUCUCGCCUAAUUUCUCGACCAGACUACAUAACCCGACUUAGAAACGUUACAACUUAAAAUUCGUAACUCUUUUGAUAACACAAAGUUUCUCCAAAAUGUAUUAAUUUUCUUCCUUCAAACGUUCAGGGAAAAACGCCAAACUAUGCAUUUUGUAGCAUUCUGGAAGUGCAUCUUGCUCAGAUUCACUCGUGAACUGACCUUCUCACCUUUUUUUGUCCAAAACAUCAACAUUUUCAUAUCCAGAACACCCAACAACCUUCUUUAAUAAACUAGACUCAAAUUUUGAACUUUCAAGACCAAUUUUAGAGCUAACACCUAAGUGAGUUAUGAGAAACUCUUUUUAUGAAGUUAGCUAAAACGCACAACCUCUACGUUCCUUCUUUCUCACCAGCCUUAAACACUCCAAACCCUUUCUAACCUCUAAAACCAUUUCGCUAAGUCAACUUAAAACCCCUAAAAAGUACUAUUUUUUGAUACUUAACCAAAAAAUUUCCUUCUUUCAAACCUCUUAAACUCUUUGGAAAAACUACACUAUCCAAAGUCUAGAUCUUACAAUGGGUAAUUUUGAUUAUAAUGUUACCAUAAUAGAAUUAAUUACAUACCAUAUUUACAUAAGAUAUCUAAUUGAAGGAAUAUAAUUCCCAUAGCGGAAGCAUAUGAACGUCGUGCAAAUGAAAUUCAAUUUGAAAAAGAAAAAGAGUUAAGAGAAAACAAAACCAAACAUGCUAAGGAGGAAGAAAAGGGAAAAACCUAACCUUUGUAGAAUUUCUCCCGGGAACAAUUCUUUGAAUCUCCAAACACCAUGAAAUCUUCUUUGUUAUCCUCAAGGUGAAAAUUAACAUAGAGUUGUGGCCUUCUGUGAUUUUGUUUUGGUGAAAAGGAAAAACUUUUGUAUAUUGUGAGAUUUUGCAAAGAGAUCAUGAUAUGGAGAGUUAAAGAUUGGUUUUGGAGAGAUAGAGGAGAUAAAGAGGGAAGUGAUCAAAUAAUUCUCAUCCUCUCCAUCACGUAGAAUAACUCCUUGAGAGUUAUUUUAUUAAUUAAAAUUAUAUCAAUAAAAUAAAAUAAAUAUAAACUUAGUUUAUAUUAUAUGAGUUUAAUUCAUAUUAUAUCUCAUAAUAUAAACUAAGUUUAUAUAUAAUAUAAACAAUGAUUUAGAUCUGUGACGUAAUCUAUAGUUUUAAUAUGAAUCAAAUUCAUAUUAAUUUUAACAUAUAGUUUAUUUAUGAAUCUUAUUCAUAUUGUUAUUUUUAUUAUUCAAAUCAUAUUCAAAUAUUAAAUUCUCUCAUAAAAACUUUAUAUUAUAAUGUAUCAAAUACAUUAAUUGUAUCAUAUACAAUUUAUUCUUUUUAAUCAAUUUGAACAAUUCAAAUUAAACCAAAAAUAAAUUUGAUUCUAAUUUAUUCUUAUUGAGAUAACAAGGGGACCUUAUGGACCUACAAAUUAAAGCUCUAAUGAUAUGUGAUUAAUUAAUUAAAUUUUUUAAUUAAAUUAAUUUCUAUUAAUUAACUAUCAAUCAUUCCACUAAAGACUAAUAGUUGCACUCUUUUUACUAUAGAUAUAUUUUUGUGUCCAUUAGAUAUAAUCAAUCAACAUUACAAUGACCCUUUAUAAAUUGCUUGUAAGUACAAGUAGGCCAAAAAAUACCAUUUUGCCUUUGUAGUUACAUCUAACUCCUUAAGUGCCACUUAUUUCUCUAAUGAACAAUAAUAAUUAUAGUCCCACUAUAACUGAACUCCUCUCGAGCCAAGAGAGGGUGUGGCAUCACAUUGUUCAAGCCCUAAAAUCAACGCUUAAGAGAGUAAUUUCUCUACUUACUCUAUCUAUAGAGAAGGGGUGGAUUCUUUCUUGUGUAGCUGUGUUCCUAGCUCCCCAAUUGAAUGAAUCUCCUAUAGAUACAUUGAAUCAACGACAUAAGCCACUCCCAACCAUGCAAAUCAAAAUACCGCAUUCAUAAGAAAGAGUUCAUAACUCACUCAGGAUUCAUGUUAAGUCACCUAUGGUCAUCCUAGUGAAAUGUAGUUUGAACUAGUAAUAGUGUUAAUAAGAGAGAUUAUUCAUUUCAUGGUUCGAUUUUAUACAAACCCUUUGUAUAGAGUACUCACACUCUAAUAUCUCGACAUGAAUGAUUAUGAUCAAAUCAUUUGUAGCACUUUGGAACAAUUGUAACAACUAAAAAGUAAACAAUAUUCGUAGUGUCACUAAUAUAAGGUAUCUAGCCUUAUCCAUCUACUACAGUCCAUUUAGGUUAUCAGUUAAACAUGAUCCACUUGUAUGUCUUCAUAUACAUGUUUAAGUUAAAGAAGAUAGAUAUUAUUUUAUUAGUUCUGUGGGUUAAUGCAACUAAAUGUCAAAUAAAAUAAAACACUUUAUUUUAUUAGAUAAAUAAAAUGUUUCUACAAUAUAUACAAUUACAAACUACAAGAUCACAAGAUUUAGAGCAUCAACACCAACAAUCUAAUAAAUGCAAAUCUUAAUCAUACACUAUGUUCCACUUUUCUUAUUUCAUUUUUCUAUUUUUUAAUAUCUUAUUAACAAUAAAGAUAGAUAGUUUGGUCUUUUGGAUUCUACAUUUGUGUAAAAUUGAAGCCCACUAGCACAUUUAUGAAAAUUUUGACCAUUAAAAUCAACUUGUAACGAGGCACCCCUAUUUAGUCUAUAAUAGUUAAAAUUCCCUAAUAAUUUUAGUGGGUAAGAAAUCAAAUGAAAAAAAGCUCAAUAACUCUAAUAACAUUUAACUAAAAGAGUCUAACAAUGAAAAUAUUUGUAAUAAUCAAUAACUAAUAUUCAAUACAUCAAUCUAAUGAACUCUCAAACAAAACCUUGAUUCUAUGUUAGAACCAUAGACUUUUAUUCAAUCUAGUUUAUUGUUUAUUGUUCUUAAUCUAGUUUAUUCAAAAUUGAUAGUAAAUAAAAAUCUAAAAAAUAAAAAGAAAAGAAAAAUCUAAAAGCCAAUUCCAAAAUGUAAAAAAAGAAAAGAAAAAAAAAAAGACAUUUUAAGUGGCAAUAAAUUAAGAUGGUAAGGUAAUAAAGAGUAGAAGUUGGUGGGGAAUGUACAGUGAAAUUUGAUGAUAAACACACAGUGAAACGGACUUUAUAAUAGUUGACAACGCGGGUGCGGUGGAAAUGGAACCCCCAACGCAACCGCCUUCAAUUGGCUUGCUCCCUUCCCUUCCCUUCCUUUCAUUGCCAUUUUCAUUUCCAUUUUCAUUUCCAUUAUUAUUAUUGCUACUAUUAUUAUUAUUAUUAUUUUAAUCAAUUAAUUAACGCAAGCAUAGAAGAGAAGAAUCGCAGGCAGCAUUUUGGUUUUGUUUUUCCGUUUCUGCGCCAUCCUCGACUCUCUGUCUCUCCUCUUUCUCUCUCAACUUCAGAGUUCCAAUGGAGCAAGGAUCUGGGUUUUCCACUUCUUCCAACCCUUCUCAGGUUUCCUUCUUUUCUUUUCUUUUCUUUUCUUUUUCCAUCAUCAUUCUCCUUCUAUAUUUAUUCUUCCUUUUCUACUUCUCUCUAUUUCUAUCUCAUUUACCCAACUCCCCUAUACCCUUUUCCCCUUUCUUCCUCCCUUCCAUUUCCCCCCAAAUGGGUCUUUUCCCUACUCCUUAAUUCCCUUUUGCACCUUCCUGAUUCUGUGUUUUCAAUCGGAAAUUACAUCCUUUGCAGAUUUGUUGUUUUAGAUUUUGUCUACGUUACAGAUUUCUAGAUUUACGGCCUUUCAUCCUUACCUCUUUUUCCUCUUCUUUUUUUUUUUGGUCAACUUGUUUACGGUUUUCCUUUGCUUACUCUCUAGAUUCUUGUGGGAGUUCUUCUUGCCUUCUUUCUGUCAUCAGCAUUUUUGUUCAUUUCAAUUAUUUUACUGAUUCUUAUCAUAACCAUCAUUGUCGUCAUCAUUGUUGUUUUUUAAUCUCUUUUUGAUAACGAUAAGUUUAGGUCUUCCUUUUAUUUAGUUUCCUUUGGAUGGUGUUUUUUUUUUUUUUUUUUUUUUGUGUGUGUGUGUGUGUGUGUGUCUUUUAUAAUAUUCUUUAGGCUGGAGUUUAGCGUGCUUGUGUGAGGGAAUUUUAUUUGGAGGUCUAAGUACGUUCUUAGCCGUUGAACUUUGUUAAUACGUGGAACUCACAAUUGAAAGGAUGGUGGCUUGAUUUUCUGGGUUGUUACUGUUGGCAAUGGGUUAUAGGGUACAAUUCCUCUUCCAACUCCGCGACUGGCCAGUAUCUUCUUUUCAACUUAUUCUUAUAGUUUUCAUCAAGUGAUAACGAUGAUUGAAAUUGCAAUUUUAUGAAGCACUGGGGGGAAAUAUUUCACCAUCCUAAUUAUUUGGUUUUGACUCAUCCGAUUCACUGAGGCUUAUUUUCCUCAUCACAAACAGUGGCAUGCUGUGGUUGAAGUGAAACUAAUUCAUAGAUACAGCAUAUCUGUUAAACGAACUGUUUUUUCUAAAUAGAAUUUACCUCAAAACCUUCGAGGAGUGUGCCUGUAUAUAAUCGUGAAAGGCCGAAGCAGAUGGUGCUUUUGCCUGCACAUCUUUAUGCUUUUUCUCUGCGUAACAAUCUUUUUGAUGGAGAUAAUGCUAUGGGAACUCUUUCGGACUGUUGGUUUUUCUGUAAAGUUGAUUAAAUUUCAAGUUUUAACUGAAUCCUAUGUCUUGCUGUUGCAGCUCUCGCGGGCAUGUCUUACAAGGAAUCUAAUACUUGCAUACCAAAGUUUUGGAGUAGUGUAUGGAGAUUUGAGCACUUCACCGCUCUACGUUUACUCAAGUACAUUUGCUGGGAAGUUGCAAAAACAUCGAACUGAGGAAGUAGUAUUUGGUGCAUUCUCCUUGAUCUUCUGGACUUUUACAUUGAUACCAUUGUUAAAGUAUGUCUUCAUUGUAUUGAGCGCAGAUGACAAUGGCGAAGGUAUGGGUUGGAUUGCAGUACUUAGCUCGUUCACUUAUGUGAGAUUUAAUCAAUCCUCUAAGGUUCUUUUGUGCGCCAUUUGUUCUCUGGCUGCAGGAGGAACAUUUGCUCUUUACUCCCUGCUCUGCCGACAUGCUAAGUUGAGUUUACUUCCUAACCAACAAGCAGCGGAUGAGGAGCUCUCAGCAUACAGAUAUGGUCCAUCUUCUCACGCAGUAGCCCCUUCUCAACUAAAAAGGUUUUUGGAAAGGCAUAAAACACUUAGGACAAUCUUACUUCUUGUCGUAUUAUUUGGUGCUUGCAUGGUCAUUGGUGAUGGAGUGCUAACUCCUGCAAUUUCAGGUUUGAUAUUUACUAUUUGUCAUAAGCGUUAAGGUUUGGAAGGACCUGUAGGUGUUUGAUUUUCUUUCCAUUAUAAUUAAGGAUUCUGAAUACAUAGACGUGUCUUCUAGUGUUUUGGCAGUUCUUUGAUUUCAACAGAAUGUACCAUGCAUGUCAUCUAAGUACACAUUUUUUCAUUUUCUUUUCGAGUGUGAGCUACUUUGUUUUCUUUACAUUAACAAUUGACUUUCAGUCUGACUUACGCACAUCUAAGGAGUGUAAGGUAUAAGAAACCUGGAAGCUGGAAGUAUUACUUAAAACAAAAAGACAACGUAAGGGCAGGGGAAGAGGAAUCUCCCUCCCAAAGAGGCUAAAUUACAGAUGUGAUUUGUUAAUGAUCAGCAAUAUUAGAUAAUUACAAAAAAAGUUGCCGUUGCUGUGACACCACCAAGUGACUGUGAACUGUACACUGCUUGAAACAAGUUUUAUUGAGAAAAAUGAAAGAAUACUUGAGCAUACUAAAAAACCAAGCCCAAAAUAAGGAAUACCCCUACAGAAUUAGGAAGAGACUCCAACUAUUUAAAAUAACUUCUAUACAAUAGUUACAAAAGGUUUUUGAAAUCAAAGCUUACAAAGAAACAUGAAAGUAAACAAGACAUCAAACCUCUCUAGGUUUCUAUCAAUCCCUCUAAAGUUCCUAUUAUUCCACUCCACCCACAAAGCUCAUAAGAGCACACACACCCCAACGAGUCGUAGAAAAUGACCCUUCUUCCCUCUAGAUGGGUUGAGGAGGAAUUCCUUGAUCAUUCCUCUAGUGUUCCUCUGAUGAGCGAAUGAAAAGCCAAAUGUCUAAAAAUUUAACUGCCAAACUGAACUUGCAUGAUCACAAUGCCAUAGUGGAGAACUUAUCUUGAUCUAGUUUCUUAUUUUCUUUCGAACUAGCAGCUUCACACCAAUGCCUAAGAGCAGAAUCCUGCGUGUAAGCUGUAUAGAAAACAAAGAAUAUUUUGCUUUGACUAACAUCUGAUAAUAGAUAUUACUUAUGGAGAUGAGGCUAAUAGAUGAUUACAAGUAACAACUAUCAGUCAUAGAACAGCCACCGACUUUCCCAGCCUACCAUUUUCCAUGAAGCAAAGAUAAAAGAAGUCAAUCGUGAAGAACAAUACCCUUUGAACUUUAUGAAAAGAAAUUGCAAAGUAGUGGGCAUGAAUUUAUGGUUAGCGAUCUGUAUCACUGUGCUGCAAUAUUUCAACCUUGUUGUGUCCCUGUUCAAUUGUAGGAGACAAGUUAUCAAUUUGAAAAGAGAAUAAAACUUUCCAAUGGAAGCUAUCUUUACCUGCAAUUUGUUUUUAUACUUUUACUACUUUCUUGAACCAAAGAAUCGAUCUUGUGUCCAGUCCGACAUGAAAUUCAAUUAUACAUUGUUGACUGCCAUACUGGUACCAGCUUUAUGGCUUCUGGAUGGCUUACAAUUUUGGUCUUCAUGAUCUUAAAAUUUUUUUGGCUCAUGUGUCCUUUUCCUUGCAGUUCUAUCAUCAGUUUCAGGUUUACAAGUUACUGAAGCAAAAUUGACCAACGGUAAUCUAUUAUCUUUACAUAGGGCUAACUAUGAUGCUUA
rnacentral:lncRNA from 1 species